rnacentral:lncRNA from 1 species
CAAAAUUUAUAAAAAAUACAACUAGCAUUGUUGAAAGGCAAUAGAUCCUUUUUUUCAUUUGCACAUUAUCUUGCUCAUGUUCCUUGUACAUUACAUAAGCCAAACACGAUUCAAAGUUUGAACUAUGAAAGGGAAACAACUAGCAUUUGCCAUUUCUUUUCACUCAACUAUUAGUCAUUGCUAUAUAAUCAAUGACAAACCAGCAGAAAAAAUAAUAAAAGACAUUUCAACAUAUUAACUACUUGUAUAUUAUGUGAAAAAGCAUAAGUUGUUUAUACGGUUACAAAUCUCAUACCCUUUGAACUAGAGUUCCACUUCCUCACAUUCAACAUUUCUUAGUCUAAGAACCAUGUUUUGGAAAAUUUUACCAUCUUUUCAAAUAGAAUAAUUAUACAUAAACACCCUUUUUCCUUGUACCACCCAUACACACUCCUUAUGUGGGGCAAUUAUACAAUUAUUUAUUUAUUUUAUUAAUUAAAAAGAAAACCAACACAACACUCUCUCUUCCUCUGCAAAUCUGGCGCUCUCCAUCCCAACACAGCAACCCACUCUCUCUCCUCUUCUCUCCACCGCCCACACCCUCCGUCGCCACACCACUGUCGUCGCCGUCGUCAUCACCACUUCCCCUUUUCUUUCUCCUCAAACCUCUCUGACUCUAUUUGCAACUGUUUUCCUCACACAGCUCAUCACUCUGUAAUUCUCUCUCUCACAAAGCUCUCUAUCUCACCUUUGUCAUGUGUUGUGGUCAUAACCAUCGGGGUCGACGCUGCCUGCGUUCAUUGUCGUCGUUGUCGCAUGUGUUUCAGUGGUGUGUUUGAGAUACCCGACGACGAUGGUGAUGGUCAGAUCCGAGGAUGAGACGGCUAGAGACGGCAGUUGUGAGAUCAAACGGUGAGAACAGACGCUGAUAUGGAGAACGUAGGUGGUGGGCGGCGGUGUUGACUAUGGUCGGUGAAAGGGAGUGAACAGAAAGAGUUAAAUGGAUGGAAGGAAGAAAUGACGUUCAGAUAGAAGAGAGAAAGUGAAGGUGGAUUGACAAAAUUACCCUUAAUAAAAUUAAUUAAAAAUGCCACAUAUGGGGUGUACAAAGGGGAUUUGUCAGCUAAAUGUGUAUGUGUAUCAGUUCUCUUCCAAAUAAUAUGUGACUCUCUUCUGCUAAGCCUUGUAACUAUAGCCUCAUUUGGGAUGCCUUCCAACUGUAUCUUUAUUGCUUCAAAAAAUGGACCGAUCAAUCUCAAACUCAGCAACCCCCAUUUUGUCAUCCAUGCUGAAUAUUUUUCAGAUACUGCAGGGUCAUGUUUAGAAUAUUUCGUCUCAAAUUAUUUCCCAUUUCUGAAUAUUCAGAUAGUAUUAAUUAUAAGUUUUCAACAAUAUUCGUAUUUAUUUAUAGGCUAAAAUAUGGUUUUAGUCCCUGCAAAUAUGUCUCGUUUUGGUUUUAGUUCCUGUAAAAAAAAAAUUGUUUUUGGUCCCUGCAAAAUUUUUUGUUUUUGAAAAUAGUCUCUGGCCCCACUUUUGUGAUGAUUUGCAUACGUGACACAUUAUAGCUGAACCAAUUUUGUAGUUUUUGGUCCCUGCAAAUUUUUUUGUUUUUAAAAAAGGUCCCUGCAAAUUUAUUUUUUUUGAAAGUAGUCCCUCCAGGGACUAUUUUUUUCACAAGGACCAAAAACAAUUUUUUUUUCACAUGGACUAAAACCAAAAUGAGGCAUAUUUGCAGUGACUAAAACCAUAUUUGAGCCUUAUUUAUAUCUCAGCAAAUAUACACUAAUUAGUCCUUCCACCAAAUUCAUAUUACAAUAAGGACAACUUAGUCUUUAAUUAACUGCAGAUUUGAUCUUCCAUAGGCAUAGAGAGUAACAAAGCUAUGCUUUAAUUAUUACAACAAACCCCACAAUUGUUAUCUUGUACUCUUCUUUUGAAUUAUAAUGAAAUGGUAAUGAGAUUCAAUUGUUCAAAUUUUGAUUCAUCAAUUUACCUCAUCGUAUAAUUGUACAAUUUUCUUGAUUACUUGAAAAUGUUAAAUAGGUUUGGAUCUCAUCCCAAAAACUAGCUCAAAUGAUGAAGAUACUCAAGCAUAUUUAUACACUCAACAGCCCAAGAACCUGAGCAAUGUAGGACACAUAUCAGACUAAAAAUAACUUCAAAACCAACUUCAACGGAAACAACAUAUAUUAAUUAAACAACAUGCCUAAGCCUAACAAAAGCAUAAGAUAUGCUGAUGAAAGACAAACCAUGAACAUACAUCAUUAUUGAAAUUUGGAUGGAGAUUAAGAAACCCAAUUAUUUUAGUCGGAAACAAAGACCGCUACUUAUUUAAAGUAGUACAUAAAUGCAUAAUAUCGAUAUUAAGCAGGAAGAGACAUCUUCAAGAAGUCUUUUUCGAAUUUCAAGCUAGAGGCCAUCUUGAAUGCGUUUACUGCUUCAGAGACAGAGGGGAAACACAAGCCAUAUUGAAGAUUAGGAAAACGAGCACAAUAAUUGCCACUACCCUUUUUUGUGCAUUCAGCAUGAGACCAACAUAACUUAGGUGGUUCCUCAACCUUCUUCUUAAGCUCUGCAUAUGAACGAGGAUCAUAACAUUCAUACAUAGGAACAACUGGAUGCCAAGUUAACGCGCAGACACAAUCGCCAUUACAUCCAUAAUCCGGAUUGCAAGGAACACGGAAACAAAAUGCUGCUUCAACUUUCUUCAUUGGGAAUAUCACUGUAAAUGAUAAAGCUAAUUAACGUUUGAACAACAUACACUUAGUCCUAUAGAGGUGUCCGUGCUUCAUAGCUCUUUUUUAUAUCUUUUUAUUUUUCGUUAUCGUUUAUAUAUAUUUUAAAAGAGUCGAACACAAUUCAAACCUUCUAAUUCUGGUGUUUUUUUCACCUUCAAAAUUGGCAUUAGACCAAAGUCUCUGAAGUUUUACUUAACUGUGUCAGAGAAUAAAUCAUAAGGCUUUGUUUGGGAGUUUGGAGGGAAAGAGAAUGGAGGGCUUUGGGGGGUUGGAAAAAUAUAGAAAAAUGGACAAAAAAUUUACAUUUUUUGAAAGAGCAGUUUUUUAGAGAAUGAUAAACUAAUACUUAUGAUUAAUAUACUUUUAAUUUUAAGAAUAUUAUAACAAGAUAGAUUGAAUUUGAAAAAUUCAUAUAAACCCUCUGUAACCCCCCAAAACCCUCCCCCAAUACAAUUUUUGAGUUUCCCCAGAUGAGGGAAAUUUUUUAUUAUGAGUAAAAAAUUAACCUCCAAAGCCCUCUCCUCCCAAUGUCUUCUAUUUCUUCCACUUGCUCCUUCCUUUUUUCGAAACCCUCCCCUCCCCUCCCCUCCAAAUUCCCAAACAAAGCCUAAGGAAAAUAUGACUUCCUCUACUACCUCCGUUUCCAUAAAUGAUUCCAAAAUGAUUCAUAUAUGUCUAGACUACAUAUGACCAGUAGUGAUGUAGAAUAGUUGGCUUGAUGGAAAAACAAACUAUACAGUAUCUGCAUAUACAUGCCACACAUUACUACAAAACUAGUGACGUAAAUUAGUGACAGAAAAAAUAAAUCCCUAACCAAUUUUGUCCUUGCAAAAUUAAGUAAUUUAAUUAGAGAGGAAUUUUAUGUUUUUCAUCUCUUAAUUUUCCUAGAUAAUUUUUGCUUUUUAGAGACCUAUGACGUGGCUUCAAAGUUGAAAGAUAUACUUAAUAAAUUAAUAUUUAGGACAGUGGAUAAUUAAUAAUUGGGAGUAGAUUCCGAUUAAUUUUUCUCAUGAUUUCAAAAAAAUAAGUAGAAAUGCAUGGUAUAUAUAGGUGAGAAAGAUCAUUGAAAUACAUACAGAAUGCGGCAAGCAUAAAGACAGCAAAAGGAGCAAGCUUAACAUAAGUCAUUGUUCUAUCAAAAGAAAGAACCAGCUACAAAAUACUAUUGUUUGUUAAUUAUGAGCUCAACUUUGUAUUGCACUAGUUCAUUUCUUGCAUUCAACAAUUUAUAGACAAAAUAAAAGUUAAUUGCUUAUAAAAAAAAUAAAUAAAUAAUUCAGAAGCGAGGGACACGACGUUAAUUGCUUAUGAAAUAAAUAAAUAAAAAAUAAUUGGUCCCCUCUCAUCAAAGAAAAUCUUCUAUCUGCUUAUCUAUAAUUUAGGGUAGAAAAAACACAAGCUUCUAUGUGGUUGAUAGUAGUUUUGCGUAUAAGGCAUCUAUCCUCAAUGGUGCUGCACCAUCCGGUAAAUGAGCACAAUAAUUACCACUACCCUUUUAUGUGCAUUCAGCAUGAGACCAACAUAAGUUAGGUUGUUCCUCAACCUUCUUCUUAAGCUCUGCAGAUGAACGAGGAGGACCACAUAUAUAUUGAGGAACAACUGGAUGCCAAACGUACUCGCAGACACAAUUGCCAGUACAUCUAAAUGCAUAAUCGCAAGGAACACUGAAACAUAUAGCUGCUUCAACUUUCUUCAUUGGAAAUAUCACUAUAAAUGAUAAAGCUAAUUAAGGUUUGAACAACAUACACAUACCAUUAUUAACAUUAUUAUAAAAAUAAAAUUAGUGACCAAUUUUAAAUUUAAAAAAAAAAACUGAAAUUUAUUACUUCCAUCGCUAAAUUUAGUAGAAAAUGAUUUCAUAUUUUCCCUCACUUAAAUUUUGUGGAUAAUUUAAUUAUUCUCAGCCGAGGACAGAAGCAAAAGCAUAUACAAUCCUUUUUGUAGACAACUUGUUGUUGUAUAUAUCUUUAGAUUGAGAUUAGGAAGUCUUAUCGGUUGAGGCACGGAAAUCUUGGACAAGGUUGUCUUAGUGUCGUUGUAAUCAGAAUUUAAUUACAGUGUUCAAAUCUCUUGGAAGUGCAGGGUGAACCACGAUAAACACUAUGUGUUGUCUCUUUCUCGUAUCUUUGUGUUGUCUCUUUUUCGUAUCUUUUUAUUUUUCACUAUCGUUUAUAUGUGUUUUAAAAGAUAUUUCAAAAAGAGUCAAACACAAUUCAAACCUCCUAAUUCUGGUAUUUUUCUCACCUUCAAUUGGCAUCAGAGCAAGGUCUCUGAAGUUUUACUACUUAACCGUGUAAGAAAAAUCCUAAGAAAAACAAUAUUCGUAUUUAUUUAUAUCUCAACAAACAUACACUAAUUUGUCCUUCCAUCAAAUUCAUAUUACAUUAAGGACAACUUAGUCAAAAAAACUGCUUUACUUUAAUUAACUGCGGAUUUGAUCUUCCAUAGGCAUAGAACGUAACAAAGCUAUGCUUUAAUUAUUACAACAAACCCCACAAUUGUUAUCUUGUACUCUUCUUUUGAAUUAUAAUGAAAUGGUAAUGAGAUUCAAUUGUUCAAAUUUUGAUUCAUCAAUUUACCUCAUUGUAUUAUUGUACAAUUUUCUUGAUUACUUGAAAAUGUUAAAUAGGCUUGGAUCUCAUCCCAAAAGUUAGCUCAAAUGAUGAGGNAAUUCAGAAGCGAGGGACACGACGUUAAUUGCUUAUGAAAUAAAUAAAUAAAAAAUAAUUGGUCCCCUCUCAUCAAAGAAAAUCUUCUAUCUGCUUAUCUAUAAUUUAGGGUAGAAAAAACACAAGCUUCUAUGUGGUUGAUAGUAGUUUUGCGUAUAAGGCAUCUAUCCUCAAUGGUGCUGCACCAUCCGGUAAAUGAGCACAAUAAUUACCACUACCCUUUUAUGUGCAUUCAGCAUGAGACCAACAUAAGUUAGGUUGUUCCUCAACCUUCUUCUUAAGCUCUGCAGAUGAACGAGGAGGACCACAUAUAUAUUGAGGAACAACUGGAUGCCAAACGUACUCGCAGACACAAUUGCCAGUACAUCUAAAUGCAUAAUCGCAAGGAACACUGAAACAUAUAGCUGCUUCAACUUUCUUCAUUGGAAAUAUCACUAUAAAUGAUAAAGCUAAUUAAGGUUUGAACAACAUACACAUACCAUUAUUAACAUUAUUAUAAAAAUAAAAUUAGUGACCAAUUUUAAAUUUAAAAAAAAAAACUGAAAUUUAUUACUUCCAUCGCUAAAUUUAGUAGAAAAUGAUUUCAUAUUUUCCCUCACUUAAAUUUUGUGGAUAAUUUAAUUAUUCUCAGCCGAGGACAGAAGCAAAAGCAUAUACAAUCCUUUUUGUAGACAACUUGUUGUUGUAUAUAUCUUUAGAUUGAGAUUAGGAAGUCUUAUCGGUUGAGGCACGGAAAUCUUGGACAAGGUUGUCUUAGUGUCGUUGUAAUCAGAAUUUAAUUACAGUGUUCAAAUCUCUUGGAAGUGCAGGGUGAACCACGAUAAACACUAUGUGUUGUCUCUUUCUCGUAUCUUUGUGUUGUCUCUUUUUCGUAUCUUUUUAUUUUUCACUAUCGUUUAUAUGUGUUUUAAAAGAUAUUUCAAAAAGAGUCAAACACAAUUCAAACCUCCUAAUUCUGGUAUUUUUCUCACCUUCAAUUGGCAUCAGAGCAAGGUCUCUGAAGUUUUACUACUUAACCGUGUAAGAAAAAUCCUAAGAAAAACAAUAUUCGUAUUUAUUUAUAUCUCAACAAACAUACACUAAUUUGUCCUUCCAUCAAAUUCAUAUUACAUUAAGGACAACUUAGUCAAAAAAACUGCUUUACUUUAAUUAACUGCGGAUUUGAUCUUCCAUAGGCAUAGAACGUAACAAAGCUAUGCUUUAAUUAUUACAACAAACCCCACAAUUGUUAUCUUGUACUCUUCUUUUGAAUUAUAAUGAAAUGGUAAUGAGAUUCAAUUGUUCAAAUUUUGAUUCAUCAAUUUACCUCAUUGUAUUAUUGUACAAUUUUCUUGAUUACUUGAAAAUGUUAAAUAGGCUUGGAUCUCAUCCCAAAAGUUAGCUCAAAUGAUGAGGGUACUCAAGCAUAUUUAUACAUCCAACAGCCUAAGAACUUGAGCGAUAUAGGACAAAUAACAAACUACAAAUAAUUCAAAACCAACUUCAACAAAAACAACAUAUAUUAAUUAAACAACAGGCCUAACAAAAGCAUAAGAUAUGCUGAUGAAAGGAAAACCAUGAACAUACAUCAUUAUUGAAAUUUGGAUGGAUAUUAAGAAACCCAAUUAUUUAAAGUUGUACAUAAAUGCAUAAUAUCGAUAUUAAGCAGGAAGAGACAUCUUCAAGAAGUCUUUUUCGAAUUUCAAGCUAGAGGCCAUCUUGAAUGUGUUUACUGCUUCAGAGAUAGAGGGAAAACACAAGCCAUAUUUGAGAUUGGAAUUAGGAAAACGAGCACAAUAAUUCCCACUACCCUUUUCUGUGCAUUCAGUAUGAGACCAACAUAACUUAGGUUGUUCCUCUACCUUCUUCUUAAGCUCUGCAGAUGAAUGAGGAGUGACACAUUUAAAGUUAAGCCGCGGAGGAAGUGAUGCAAUAAAGGGUUCGCAGUCACAAUCGCCACUACAAUAAAGUCGAGGGUAAGGGCAAUAAGCGCCACAUUUAUCUGCUUCUACUUUCUUCAUUGGGAAUAUCACUGUAAAUGAUAAAGCUAAUUAAGGAUUGAACAAUAUACACAUACCAUUAUUAACAUUAUUAUAAAAAUAAAAUUAGUUACCAAUUUUAGAUUAAAAAAACUGAAAUUUAUGUGUUUUAAUAGCUUUCAAAAAGAGUCAAACACAAUUCAAACCUCUCAAUUUUGGUGUAUUUCUGACCUUUAGUUGGCAUCAGAGCAAAGUCUCUGAAAUUUUACUUAACCGUGUAAGAGAAAUGAUCCUAAGAAAAAUAUAACCUCCGUUACCUCCAUUCCAAAAAGUGAUUCCAAGAAUGAUUCAUAUAUGUCUAGACUACCUAUGAUCAGUAGUGAUGUAGACAGAGACGGAUCUAGACAUUCGGUAUAUGUGUGACUAAAAUUUUAAAAAAAAAUAAUGCAAACAAUAUGAAAAAUAAGAAAUAACAUUGUUUGAUACAAUACAAUUUCAAUGAAAAUGGUCUCCUAUCCAUUUGUUGAAAAUGCGAAAAUAACGGCGCCGCUAAUUUUUAAAAGAACAUUUCUUUCUAUAUAAGUUACAGUAUAAGAUAGUCAUUUAACCACAAAUCACUUAUUUUGUUGCAUAGUUGAUUGUUCACAAUUUUUGUAGCUGAAAAAACACGUUCAACACUUGCAAUUGCUACCCACAAUAGCAACUAACUUAAAAGCUUAUAAACCAUAACAAAUAUGUUGCACUUAUUUGUUUCGUGGGAGAGAGAAAUGUUUUGAUAUAGUUGUAUGUUUUAUUUAUUAAAAAAAAAAAAAAUAAUUGGGGAGUGGAUGUGUGCCUUUAGCCACACAUGGCCACACAAUGCAUCCGCCUCUGGAUGUAGAAGAGUUGGCUUGAUGGAAAAAACAAACUAUACAGUAUCUGCAUAUACAUGCCACACAUUACUAGAAGAAAAAAAACAAAACUAGCGACAUAAAUUAGUGACAAAAAGAAUGAAAUCCCUCACCAAUUUUAUUCUCGCAUAAUUUAGUAACCUAAUUAAAGAGGAAUUUUAUGUUUUUCAUCUCUUAAUUACACUAGCUAAUUUUUGCAUUUUAGUGACCUAUGACGUGGCUUCAAAGUUGAAACAUAUACUUAAUAAAUUAAUAUUUAGGACAGUGGAUAAUUGAUAAUUGGGAGUAGAUUCCGAUUAAUUUUUCUCAUGAUUUCGAAAAAAUAAGUAGAAAUGCAUGGUAUAUAUAUAGGUGAGAAAGAUGGUUGAAAUACAUACAGAAUGCGGCAAGCAAGAAGACAGCCAAAGGAGCUAGCUUAACAUAAGUCAUUGUUCUAUCAAAAGAAAGAACCAGCUACAAAAUACUAUUGUUUGUAUUGCACUAGUUCAUUUCUUGCAUUCAACAAUUUAUAGACAAAAUAAAAGUUAAUUGCUUAUAAAAAAAAUAAAUAAAAAAUUCAGAAGCGAGGGACACGACGUUAAUUGCUUAUGAAAUAAAUAAAUAAAAAAUAAUUGGUCCCCUCUCAUCAAAGAAAAUCUUCUAUCUGCUUAUCUAUAAUUUAGGGUAGAAAAAACACAAGCUUCUAUGUGGUUGAUAGUAGUUUUGCGUAUAAGGCAUCUAUCCUCAAUGGUGCUGCACCAUCCGGUCAAAUGACCGUGCCAUGUAAAUUGUAUCUGCAUGUCUCAAGUGCAGUUAAAUAAUCUAUCUUCAGAGAUUACAAUCGUGAUUCUAUCAUAUUUAACACAAAGUUGAAGUAGUUAACUCAAGAGAAUGUUGUAGACAUUGUGUGUCAAGGAUUUUGAUCGCAAAGUGGAUCUAUUAUUCAACAAAUACAUUUUCCUUUAGAUUAACAAUAGUCUUCCAUGGCCAAUUCCAUACAGCGGAUGAUCUUCCAUGAAAAUUUCGAUUAUGGAUCUUGCCUUAAUUUCUGCUAAGAAUCUCAUAUCGGAUAGGUGAUGGCCUGAUAAUGUGUUUAUAAGUGGGGGCAAUCCUCACCUCAUAAGCCGGUUCUGUACCAGUCUUGAUAGGAACAAAAUGCGCUGACUUCGUCAACCGAUCAACAAUCACCCAAAUCGAAUCGAAACCCUUACUAGUCUUAGGCAACGCUCCAACAAAAUCCAUAGAAAUGCUAUCCCACUUCCACUCUGGCACAAACAACGGUUGCAUCAAACCCGACGGUCUCUGAUGUUCAAUCUUCGAUUUCUGACAAACCAAACAAGCAUAAACAAACUCAGCAAUCUCCUUCUUCAUUCCAGGCCACCAAAACAACCUUUUCAAAUCCUGAUACAUCUUAGUUGCUCCUGGAUGAAUACUCAAACUACUUCUAUGACCUUCGUCCAAAAUUUGCCUCUUAAGCUCAAACACAUCCGGCACACAAACUCGAUCACGAAACAUCAAAACACCAGUCUCACCCAAUCUAAAGUCUCCACCUUUUCCUUGAUUAACCAACGUCACUCGAUUCACGAGUUCCAAAUCUUCCUUCUGACCAUUCUUGAUCUCUUCCAAAAUAUUGCUUGUCAACUUCAACAUACCCAACCUCACACCAUCAGGUGUCAACUCACUAACCAAACUCAAGUCUCGAAACUGCUCAAUCAAUUCCAACUCUUUAACCAUCAAAGCAGACAUAUGCAAAGUCUUUCUACUCAAAGCAUCCGCAACAACAUUAGCCUUUCCGGGAUGAUAACUCAACUGAAAAUCAAAAUCCUUAAGAUAUUCCAACCAUCUUCUCUGCCUCAUAUUCAACUCUUUCUGAUCAAACAAAUACUUCAAACUCUUGUGGUCACUGAACACCUCAAACUUAGAACCAUACAGAUAAUGUCUCCAAAUCUUCAAUGUAUACACAACGGCUGCCAAUUCCAAAUCAUGAGUCGGAUAAUUCUUCUCAUGCACUUUCAAUUGCCUCGAAGCAUAAGCUACAACCUGACGAUUCUGCAUAAGCACACCACCAAGACCCAUCUUAGAAGCAUCACAAUACACAACAAACGAUUCCUUCGGAUUCGGCAAAAUCAACACCGGAGCUGAAGUCAACCUCUUCUUCAACUCUUGGAAACUCUUCUCACACUUGGCAUCCCAAACAUAAGCCUGUCCUUUCCGAGUCAACUGCGUCAAUGGCAACGCCAACUUAGAGAAUCCCUCAAUGAACCUCCGAUAAUAACCGGCCAAACCAAGAAAGCUUCUAAUCUCAAAAACAGACUUAGGAGACUCCCACUGCAACACUGCAUCAACCUUGGAAGGAUCCACAGAAAUACCACCCUUAGAAAUCACAUGACCAAGGAAACUCACUUCCUUCAACCAAAACUCACACUUAGACAACUUGGCACACAACUGGUUCUCUUUCAAGACUUGCAACACAAUCCUCAAAUGCUCAGCAUGCUCUUCCUCAGACUUUGAAUACACCAAAAUAUCAUCUAUGAACACCACCACAAAACGGUCCAGAUAAGGAUGAAAUAUUCUAUUCAUGUAUUCCAUAAAGACACCUGGUGCAUUAGAUACUCCAAAUGGCAUCACAGAAUACUCAUAGUGUCCAUACCUCGUUCGGAACGCAGUUUUGGAUAUAUCUUCCGCCUUUACUCUAAUCUGAUGAUAUCCUGAUCUCAAAUCAAUCUUACUAAACACCUCUGCACCCACUAGCUGAUCCAUCAAAUCAUCAAUCCUUGGAAGUGGAUACCGAUUCUUAAUCGUCACCUUGUUCAACUGUCGAUAAUCCACACACAACCUCAUGCUUCCAUCUUUCUUCUUAACCAACAACACUGGAGCACCCCACGGUGAAACACUCGGUCUAAUAAACUGCUUCUCAAGCAACUCUUCCAACUGAUUCUUCAAUUCACCCAACUCCGAUGCAGACAUCCGAUACGGCGCAAUCGAAAUAGGACUCGUGCCUGGUACCAAAUCAAUUGCAAACUCAACUUCCCUCUCCGGCGGUAACUCGGUAAUAUCCUCUGGAAAAACCUCAGGAAACUCUUGCACUACCGGCAAAUCACUAACCCCUUUCUCACCACCAACCUUCAAAGAUGCAAACAUCAUAAACACACAAGCCUCACCAUCUAAAGACUUCUUCACUUGCUCCGCGGUCAAAAACUUCCUAUCUAACUCUUCUACCGGCUUAGAAAAAGUCACACUCCUAGUCAAACAAUUAAUGCUAACCCCAAAAGCUAACAACCAAUCCAUACCAAAAAUAACAUCCAUAUGCUUCAACGGAAGACAAACAAGAUCCAACUCAAAAUCAACAUCACCAAAAUUAACAGAACACUUAACACAAACCACAACCAACUGAGCCUCCGCAACCAAGAUAUGUUCCCUUGCCAGACUAACACAAACCACUAACCGAUAAGAAAACAACACAACAGAGCAAGUGCCGAAGGUACUAAACUACCAUUCGCCCACAACAGGGAAAAACAACAAAGAUUAAUCUAAACACGACUGACCAUGGCUCUGAUACCAACUUGUAACACUCUUAUUUCUAUUAAAGCAAUUAAACAUACGAAUAAUACAUUUAUUCAAGAAAUAGAGGCUACGCCACAUUCAAAAUUCAAAAAAAAUCAAUAAACAUGUAUAUAAACCUCAACAGUCGCAGCGGAAUAUAAACCAGAGUAAUCCAAAUAUACACGUUAUGAAUAAUAAAUUACAUCAACAUAGAUGCAUCUCAAAAAUCCCAACAAACGGGUAAUCUCCAAACAUAACAAAAAUCCAAAAUAAAAGAUAAUCUAGACCGACACAACUAAGCCUAGAUCAGAGCCGACUAAACAUCUAAACACCGAUAUCGGAGAAAGCUCUCGAUAUCCACCAAGCACAAAACUCAACAAGCAUCUAAACCUGCACAACAUCUACCCAUCCAUACAGAUAGGCAGGCGGUCCAUAACAGAUCCACUGGGUGUAAGUAUUACAUUAUCAUAAUCCAAAUAACAGUUAACAUGAAUAUUUCAAUUUAAACAUCAUGCACUUGAUCAAUAAUAAUAUUCUCAUAUCAAUACUUACAUCAAAUCCCAAUAUCUCACAUUAAUAAUCAUCAAUCACAUGUGUCAUGAACAAAUAUCAAUUCACAUUUAUUCAUACACAAUCACCAAUCAUAUACAUCAUGAACAAUCAUUAAUCACACACAUUUCAUGAACAAUCGUUAAUCACAAUUCAUGAACAAUCACCAAUCAUAUUCCAUGAACAAUCACCAAUCAUAUUCCAUGAACAUUCAUUAAUCACAUUUCAUGGACAAUCAUCAAUCACAUGUGUCAAACAUCAAUUCACAAUUAUUCACACAUACUCACCAAUCACCAAUCACAUUUUCAAAUAUGACUCAUGUCAUGAUAUGCACUUAUUGACACAUAAAUGCAUGUGGUACCAAAUCUCCAAAAGGUCGUCACCUCCAAAUCCAGAUCUCAAAAGAUCUCUGCCAGGCCGAAGCCCUAUAACGAAUAAAACAUCGUAUCCAGAUCUCAAAAGAUCUCUGCNAUGGUAAUGAGAUUCAAUUGUUCAAAUUUUGAUUCAUCAAUUUACCUCAUUGUAUUAUUGUACAAUUUUCUUGAUUACUUGAAAAUGUUAAAUAGGCUUGGAUCUCAUCCCAAAAGUUAGCUCAAAUGAUGAGGGUACUCAAGCAUAUUUAUACAUCCAACAGCCUAAGAACUUGAGCGAUAUAGGACAAAUAACAAACUACAAAUAAUUCAAAACCAACUUCAACAAAAACAACAUAUAUUAAUUAAACAACAGGCCUAACAAAAGCAUAAGAUAUGCUGAUGAAAGGAAAACCAUGAACAUACAUCAUUAUUGAAAUUUGGAUGGAUAUUAAGAAACCCAAUUAUUUAAAGUUGUACAUAAAUGCAUAAUAUCGAUAUUAAGCAGGAAGAGACAUCUUCAAGAAGUCUUUUUCGAAUUUCAAGCUAGAGGCCAUCUUGAAUGUGUUUACUGCUUCAGAGAUAGAGGGAAAACACAAGCCAUAUUUGAGAUUGGAAUUAGGAAAACGAGCACAAUAAUUCCCACUACCCUUUUCUGUGCAUUCAGUAUGAGACCAACAUAACUUAGGUUGUUCCUCUACCUUCUUCUUAAGCUCUGCAGAUGAAUGAGGAGUGACACAUUUAAAGUUAAGCCGCGGAGGAAGUGAUGCAAUAAAGGGUUCGCAGUCACAAUCGCCACUACAAUAAAGUCGAGGGUAAGGGCAAUAAGCGCCACAUUUAUCUGCUUCUACUUUCUUCAUUGGGAAUAUCACUGUAAAUGAUAAAGCUAAUUAAGGAUUGAACAAUAUACACAUACCAUUAUUAACAUUAUUAUAAAAAUAAAAUUAGUUACCAAUUUUAGAUUAAAAAAACUGAAAUUUAUGUGUUUUAAUAGCUUUCAAAAAGAGUCAAACACAAUUCAAACCUCUCAAUUUUGGUGUAUUUCUGACCUUUAGUUGGCAUCAGAGCAAAGUCUCUGAAAUUUUACUUAACCGUGUAAGAGAAAUGAUCCUAAGAAAAAUAUAACCUCCGUUACCUCCAUUCCAAAAAGUGAUUCCAAGAAUGAUUCAUAUAUGUCUAGACUACCUAUGAUCAGUAGUGAUGUAGACAGAGACGGAUCUAGACAUUCGGUAUAUGUGUGACUAAAAUUUUAAAAAAAAAUAAUGCAAACAAUAUGAAAAAUAAGAAAUAACAUUGUUUGAUACAAUACAAUUUCAAUGAAAAUGGUCUCCUAUCCAUUUGUUGAAAAUGCGAAAAUAACGGCGCCGCUAAUUUUUAAAAGAACAUUUCUUUCUAUAUAAGUUACAGUAUAAGAUAGUCAUUUAACCACAAAUCACUUAUUUUGUUGCAUAGUUGAUUGUUCACAAUUUUUGUAGCUGAAAAAACACGUUCAACACUUGCAAUUGCUACCCACAAUAGCAACUAACUUAAAAGCUUAUAAACCAUAACAAAUAUGUUGCACUUAUUUGUUUCGUGGGAGAGAGAAAUGUUUUGAUAUAGUUGUAUGUUUUAUUUAUUAAAAAAAAAAAAAAUAAUUGGGGAGUGGAUGUGUGCCUUUAGCCACACAUGGCCACACAAUGCAUCCGCCUCUGGAUGUAGAAGAGUUGGCUUGAUGGAAAAAACAAACUAUACAGUAUCUGCAUAUACAUGCCACACAUUACUAGAAGAAAAAAAACAAAACUAGCGACAUAAAUUAGUGACAAAAAGAAUGAAAUCCCUCACCAAUUUUAUUCUCGCAUAAUUUAGUAACCUAAUUAAAGAGGAAUUUUAUGUUUUUCAUCUCUUAAUUACACUAGCUAAUUUUUGCAUUUUAGUGACCUAUGACGUGGCUUCAAAGUUGAAACAUAUACUUAAUAAAUUAAUAUUUAGGACAGUGGAUAAUUGAUAAUUGGGAGUAGAUUCCGAUUAAUUUUUCUCAUGAUUUCGAAAAAAUAAGUAGAAAUGCAUGGUAUAUAUAUAGGUGAGAAAGAUGGUUGAAAUACAUACAGAAUGCGGCAAGCAAGAAGACAGCCAAAGGAGCUAGCUUAACAUAAGUCAUUGUUCUAUCAAAAGAAAGAACCAGCUACAAAAUACUAUUGUUUGUUAAUUAUGAGCUCAACUUUGUAUUGCACUAGUUCAUUUCUUGCAUUCAACAAUUUAUAGACAAAAUAAAAGUUAAUUGCUUAUAAAAAAAAUAAAUAAAUAAUUCAGAAGCGAGGGACACGACGUUAAUUGCUUAUGAAAUAAAUAAAUAAAAAAUAAUUGGUCCCCUCUCAUCAAAGAAAAUCUUCUAUCUGCUUAUCUAUAAUUUAGGGUAGAAAAAACACAAGCUUCUAUGUGGUUGAUAGUAGUUUUGCGUAUAAGGCAUCUAUCCUCAAUGGUGCUGCACCAUCCGGUAAAUGAGCACAAUAAUUACCACUACCCUUUUAUGUGCAUUCAGCAUGAGACCAACAUAAGUUAGGUUGUUCCUCAACCUUCUUCUUAAGCUCUGCAGAUGAACGAGGAGGACCACAUAUAUAUUGAGGAACAACUGGAUGCCAAACGUACUCGCAGACACAAUUGCCAGUACAUCUAAAUGCAUAAUCGCAAGGAACACUGAAACAUAUAGCUGCUUCAACUUUCUUCAUUGGAAAUAUCACUAUAAAUGAUAAAGCUAAUUAAGGUUUGAACAACAUACACAUACCAUUAUUAACAUUAUUAUAAAAAUAAAAUUAGUGACCAAUUUUAAAUUUAAAAAAAAAAACUGAAAUUUAUUACUUCCAUCGCUAAAUUUAGUAGAAAAUGAUUUCAUAUUUUCCCUCACUUAAAUUUUGUGGAUAAUUUAAUUAUUCUCAGCCGAGGACAGAAGCAAAAGCAUAUACAAUCCUUUUUGUAGACAACUUGUUGUUGUAUAUAUCUUUAGAUUGAGAUUAGGAAGUCUUAUCGGUUGAGGCACGGAAAUCUUGGACAAGGUUGUCUUAGUGUCGUUGUAAUCAGAAUUUAAUUACAGUGUUCAAAUCUCUUGGAAGUGCAGGGUGAACCACGAUAAACACUAUGUGUUGUCUCUUUCUCGUAUCUUUGUGUUGUCUCUUUUUCGUAUCUUUUUAUUUUUCACUAUCGUUUAUAUGUGUUUUAAAAGAUAUUUCAAAAAGAGUCAAACACAAUUCAAACCUCCUAAUUCUGGUAUUUUUCUCACCUUCAAUUGGCAUCAGAGCAAGGUCUCUGAAGUUUUACUACUUAACCGUGUAAGAAAAAUCCUAAGAAAAACAAUAUUCGUAUUUAUUUAUAUCUCAACAAACAUACACUAAUUUGUCCUUCCAUCAAAUUCAUAUUACAUUAAGGACAACUUAGUCAAAAAAACUGCUUUACUUUAAUUAACUGCGGAUUUGAUCUUCCAUAGGCAUAGAACGUAACAAAGCUAUGCUUUAAUUAUUACAACAAACCCCACAAUUGUUAUCUUGUACUCUUCUUUUGAAUUAUAAUGAAAUGGUAAUGAGAUUCAAUUGUUCAAAUUUUGAUUCAUCAAUUUACCUCAUUGUAUUAUUGUACAAUUUUCUUGAUUACUUGAAAAUGUUAAAUAGGCUUGGAUCUCAUCCCAAAAGUUAGCUCAAAUGAUGAGGGUACUCAAGCAUAUUUAUACAUCCAACAGCCUAAGAACUUGAGCGAUAUAGGACAAAUAACAAACUACAAAUAAUUCAAAACCAACUUCAACAAAAACAACAUAUAUUAAUUAAACAACAGGCCUAACAAAAGCAUAAGAUAUGCUGAUGAAAGGAAAACCAUGAACAUACAUCAUUAUUGAAAUUUGGAUGGAUAUUAAGAAACCCAAUUAUUUAAAGUUGUACAUAAAUGCAUAAUAUCGAUAUUAAGCAGGAAGAGACAUCUUCAAGAAGUCUUUUUCGAAUUUCAAGCUAGAGGCCAUCUUGAAUGUGUUUACUGCUUCAGAGAUAGAGGGAAAACACAAGCCAUAUUUGAGAUUGGAAUUAGGAAAACGAGCACAAUAAUUCCCACUACCCUUUUCUGUGCAUUCAGUAUGAGACCAACAUAACUUAGGUUGUUCCUCUACCUUCUUCUUAAGCUCUGCAGAUGAAUGAGGAGUGACACAUUUAAAGUUAAGCCGCGGAGGAAGUGAUGCAAUAAAGGGUUCGCAGUCACAAUCGCCACUACAAUAAAGUCGAGGGUAAGGGCAAUAAGCGCCACAUUUAUCUGCUUCUACUUUCUUCAUUGGGAAUAUCACUGUAAAUGAUAAAGCUAAUUAAGGAUUGAACAAUAUACACAUACCAUUAUUAACAUUAUUAUAAAAAUAAAAUUAGUUACCAAUUUUAGAUUAAAAAAACUGAAAUUUAUGUGUUUUAAUAGCUUUCAAAAAGAGUCAAACACAAUUCAAACCUCUCAAUUUUGGUGUAUUUCUGACCUUUAGUUGGCAUCAGAGCAAAGUCUCUGAAAUUUUACUUAACCGUGUAAGAGAAAUGAUCCUAAGAAAAAUAUAACCUCCGUUACCUCCAUUCCAAAAAGUGAUUCCAAGAAUGAUUCAUAUAUGUCUAGACUACCUAUGAUCAGUAGUGAUGUAGACAGAGACGGAUCUAGACAUUCGGUAUAUGUGUGACUAAAAUUUUAAAAAAAAAUAAUGCAAACAAUAUGAAAAAUAAGAAAUAACAUUGUUUGAUACAAUACAAUUUCAAUGAAAAUGGUCUCCUAUCCAUUUGUUGAAAAUGCGAAAAUAACGGCGCCGCUAAUUUUUAAAAGAACAUUUCUUUCUAUAUAAGUUACAGUAUAAGAUAGUCAUUUAACCACAAAUCACUUAUUUUGUUGCAUAGUUGAUUGUUCACAAUUUUUGUAGCUGAAAAAACACGUUCAACACUUGCAAUUGCUACCCACAAUAGCAACUAACUUAAAAGCUUAUAAACCAUAACAAAUAUGUUGCACUUAUUUGUUUCGUGGGAGAGAGAAAUGUUUUGAUAUAGUUGUAUGUUUUAUUUAUUAAAAAAAAAAAAAAUAAUUGGGGAGUGGAUGUGUGCCUUUAGCCACACAUGGCCACACAAUGCAUCCGCCUCUGGAUGUAGAAGAGUUGGCUUGAUGGAAAAAACAAACUAUACAGUAUCUGCAUAUACAUGCCACACAUUACUAGAAGAAAAAAAACAAAACUAGCGACAUAAAUUAGUGACAAAAAGAAUGAAAUCCCUCACCAAUUUUAUUCUCGCAUAAUUUAGUAACCUAAUUAAAGAGGAAUUUUAUGUUUUUCAUCUCUUAAUUACACUAGCUAAUUUUUGCAUUUUAGUGACCUAUGACGUGGCUUCAAAGUUGAAACAUAUACUUAAUAAAUUAAUAUUUAGGACAGUGGAUAAUUGAUAAUUGGGAGUAGAUUCCGAUUAAUUUUUCUCAUGAUUUCGAAAAAAUAAGUAGAAAUGCAUGGUAUAUAUAUAGGUGAGAAAGAUGGUUGAAAUACAUACAGAAUGCGGCAAGCAAGAAGACAGCCAAAGGAGCUAGCUUAACAUAAGUCAUUGUUCUAUCAAAAGAAAGAACCAGCUACAAAAUACUAUUGUUUGUAUUGCACUAGUUCAUUUCUUGCAUUCAACAAUUUAUAGACAAAAUAAAAGUUAAUUGCUUAUAAAAAAAAUAAAUAAAAAAUUCAGAAGCGAGGGACACGACGUUAAUUGCUUAUGAAAUAAAUAAAUAAAAAAUAAUUGGUCCCCUCUCAUCAAAGAAAAUCUUCUAUCUGCUUAUCUAUAAUUUAGGGUAGAAAAAACACAAGCUUCUAUGUGGUUGAUAGUAGUUUUGCGUAUAAGGCAUCUAUCCUCAAUGGUGCUGCACCAUCCGGUCAAAUGACCGUGCCAUGUAAAUUGUAUCUGCAUGUCUCAAGUGCAGUUAAAUAAUCUAUCUUCAGAGAUUACAAUCGUGAUUCUAUCAUAUUUAACACAAAGUUGAAGUAGUUAACUCAAGAGAAUGUUGUAGACAUUGUGUGUCAAGGAUUUUGAUCGCAAAGUGGAUCUAUUAUUCAACAAAUACAUUUUCCUUUAGAUUAACAAUAGUCUUCCAUGGCCAAUUCCAUACAGCGGAUGAUCUUCCAUGAAAAUUUCGAUUAUGGAUCUUGCCUUAAUUUCUGCUAAGAAUCUCAUAUCGGAUAGGUGAUGGCCUGAUAAUGUGUUUAUAAGUGGGGGCAAUCCUCACCUCAUAAGCCGGUUCUGUACCAGUCUUGAUAGGAACAAAAUGCGCUGACUUCGUCAACCGAUCAACAAUCACCCAAAUCGAAUCGAAACCCUUACUAGUCUUAGGCAACGCUCCAACAAAAUCCAUAGAAAUGCUAUCCCACUUCCACUCUGGCACAAACAACGGUUGCAUCAAACCCGACGGUCUCUGAUGUUCAAUCUUCGAUUUCUGACAAACCAAACAAGCAUAAACAAACUCAGCAAUCUCCUUCUUCAUUCCAGGCCACCAAAACAACCUUUUCAAAUCCUGAUACAUCUUAGUUGCUCCUGGAUGAAUACUCAAACUACUUCUAUGACCUUCGUCCAAAAUUUGCCUCUUAAGCUCAAACACAUCCGGCACACAAACUCGAUCACGAAACAUCAAAACACCAGUCUCACCCAAUCUAAAGUCUCCACCUUUUCCUUGAUUAACCAACGUCACUCGAUUCACGAGUUCCAAAUCUUCCUUCUGACCAUUCUUGAUCUCUUCCAAAAUAUUGCUUGUCAACUUCAACAUACCCAACCUCACACCAUCAGGUGUCAACUCACUAACCAAACUCAAGUCUCGAAACUGCUCAAUCAAUUCCAACUCUUUAACCAUCAAAGCAGACAUAUGCAAAGUCUUUCUACUCAAAGCAUCCGCAACAACAUUAGCCUUUCCGGGAUGAUAACUCAACUGAAAAUCAAAAUCCUUAAGAUAUUCCAACCAUCUUCUCUGCCUCAUAUUCAACUCUUUCUGAUCAAACAAAUACUUCAAACUCUUGUGGUCACUGAACACCUCAAACUUAGAACCAUACAGAUAAUGUCUCCAAAUCUUCAAUGUAUACACAACGGCUGCCAAUUCCAAAUCAUGAGUCGGAUAAUUCUUCUCAUGCACUUUCAAUUGCCUCGAAGCAUAAGCUACAACCUGACGAUUCUGCAUAAGCACACCACCAAGACCCAUCUUAGAAGCAUCACAAUACACAACAAACGAUUCCUUCGGAUUCGGCAAAAUCAACACCGGAGCUGAAGUCAACCUCUUCUUCAACUCUUGGAAACUCUUCUCACACUUGGCAUCCCAAACAUAAGCUUGUCCUUUCCGAGUCAACUGCGUCAAUGGCAACGCCAACUUAGAGAAUCCCUCAAUGAACCUCCGAUAAUAACCGGCCAAACCAAGAAAGCUUCUAAUCUCAAAAACAGACUUAGGAGACUCCCACUGCAACACUGCAUCAACCUUGGAAGGAUCCACAGAAAUACCACCCUUAGAAAUCACAUGACCAAGGAAACUCACUUCCUUCAACCAAAACUCACACUUAGACAACUUGGCACACAACUGGUUCUCUUUCAAGACUUGCAACACAAUCCUCAAAUGCUCAGCAUGCUCUUCCUCAGACUUUGAAUACACCAAAAUAUCAUCUAUGAACACCACCACAAAACGGUCCAGAUAAGGAUGAAAUAUUCUAUUCAUGUAUUCCAUAAAGACACCUGGUGCAUUAGAUACUCCAAAUGGCAUCACAGAAUACUCAUAGUGUCCAUACCUCGUUCGGAACGCAGUUUUGGAUAUAUCUUCCGCCUUUACUCUAAUCUGAUGAUAUCCUGAUCUCAAAUCAAUCUUACUAAACACCUCUGCACCCACUAGCUGAUCCAUCAAAUCAUCAAUCCUUGGAAGUGGAUACCGAUUCUUAAUCGUCACCUUGUUCAACUGUCGAUAAUCCACACACAACCUCAUGCUUCCAUCUUUCUUCUUAACCAACAACACUGGAGCACCCCACGGUGAAACACUCGGUCUAAUAAACUGCUUCUCAAGCAACUCUUCCAACUGAUUCUUCAAUUCACCCAACUCCGAUGCAGACAUCCGAUACGGCGCAAUCGAAAUAGGACUCGUGCCUGGUACCAAAUCAAUUGCAAACUCAACUUCCCUCUCCGGCGGUAACUCGGUAAUAUCCUCUGGAAAAACCUCAGGAAACUCUUGCACUACCGGCAAAUCACUAACCCCUUUCUCACCACCAACCUUCAAAGAUGCAAACAUCAUAAACACACAAGCCUCACCAUCUAAAGACUUCUUCACUUGCUCCGCGGUCAAAAACUUCCUAUCUAACUCUUCUACCGGCUUAGAAAAAGUCACACUCCUAGUCAAACAAUUAAUGCUAACCCCAAAAGCUAACAACCAAUCCAUACCAAAAAUCACAUCCAUAUGCUUCAACGGAAGACAAACAAGAUCCAACUCAAAAUCAACAUCACCAAAAUUAACAGGACACUUAGCACACAUAAAAGAAGUAGUCACCGAACCGCUAGCCGGGGUGUCAAUAACCAUUCCACGCAACAAAGGAGUUACAACCAAAUCCAAACGUUCAACACAACUAGCCGAGAUAAAAGAAUGAGUAGCACCAGUAUCAAUAAUUGCAAUCAAAGGAGUACUAUUGAUAAAACACAUACCUCGGAUAAGAUUAUCCGGCUGCUCCACCUCCUCGGCGUUCAAAGCAAACACCUUUCCCGCCGCCUUCUUUGGCUUGGUACACUUGGUACUAAUAUGACCCUUCUCUCCACAAUUGUAACAAGUAGUCUCUCUUGCAACACCUCUGCAAUCGACCGCCUUGUGACCCGCUUUCCCACACUUGUGACAAGUAAAAUCAUUCUUGCAAUCACUAGCAUAAUGACCCAUAGCUCCACACUUAAAGCACUUGACUUCCGCCAAACUUGGCCUAGAGCCUCCACCAGCUUCUCUCUUCUUUCCUUUGUCCUUGCUGUAAGGUUUUCCAGCCCCAUGUCCUCUUCCUCUCUUUUCACCCUGAGCCUUGUAGUAAUUAGACUUAGCUUUCCCAGCAUCAUCAAACAUACGACACUUAUGCACCAAAGUAUCAAAGUCUCGGAUCUCCUGAACACACAUGUACUGAUAGAUGUCCGGCCUAAGCCCACUUUCAAACUUCACACACUUGGAAACCAUAGCAUCCUCCGCAUUGAUGUAGGGACAAAACCUUGCAAGCUCCUCAAACUUCGCCGCAUACUCGGCCACAGACAUACUCCCUUGCUUCAAAUUCAGGAACUCCACUUCCUUCCUAGUCCUCAAAUCCUCUGGAAAGUACUUCCUCAAAAACUCAGCCUUGAACCUUGUCCAAGUCACAACCUCUCCACCAAUCUCAAGUCUUCCCUUAGCAUUGGUCCACCAAUACUCAGCCUCCUCAGCAAGCAUGUGAGUAGCCAACCUCACCUUCUGAUCAUCACUAGUCACCAUAGCACGAAAGAUCCUCUCCAUGCCUUGCAACCAUGUUUGAGCUCCAUCCGGGUCGAACCUUCCCUUGAACGUAGGUGGAUUGUUUCGCAAGAAACGAUCAAGCCUCCGCUCCUCAGCUUCUCCCUCAUUCCGACGACCAAUCGCCGCUUGCUCAUUCGAUUGAGCCAAAACCUGAGCCAUCGCUGCCAAGGCUUGUGCAAUCGCCGCAUCAUCACGACCUCCUGCCAUGUUCGCACUACACAACCAUCUAAACGAUAAGAAACAACACAACAAAGAUUAAUCUAAACGCGACUGACCAUGGCUCUGAUACCAACUUGUAACGCUCCUAUUUCUAUUAAAGCAAUUAAACAUGCGAAUAAUACAUUUAUUCAAGAAAUAGAGAUUACGUCUUAUUCAAAAUUCAAAAACCGAUAGACAUGUAUGUAAACCUCAACAGUUACAGCGGAAUAUAAAUCAGAGUGAUCAAAUAUAUACAUGCCAUGAGCAAAUAAAUCAUAUCCAAAAGAUAAAUCUCAAAACCCAAACAUCGGGUAGUCAUCAACAAAAUAAUAAUCCCAACGAAAAUAUAAACAACCUAAUCUAGACCGACACGACAAGCCUAGAUCAGAGCCGACACGACACCGAUAUCGGAGGAAGCUCCCGAUAUCCCAAGCAAAGACUCACCGAGACUACUCCUGCACAACGUCUACUCACCCAUACAGGCAAGUAGGCGGUUAAAACCACUGGGGGUAAGCAUUACAUUAUCAUAAUCCAGAUAAUAAUCAAAUCAAAUAAUAUCAUGUACUUGAAUAAUAUUAGUCAUGCAUAAAUACUUAUACCACAACUUGAUAGUUCGUAUCCACAUAUAUCAAUCACAUGAAUAAUUAUCCAAUCAUAAAUAUUCAUUCACAACAUCAAUCAUAGACAAUCAUUAUCAACAUUCAUUCAUCUCAAUUCAUCACCAAUCACAUAAUUCACAUAGGACUCAUGCUAUGAUAUGCACUUAUGGACACAUAAAUGCAUGCGGUACCAAAUCUCAACAAGGUCGUCACCUUUCGAUGCCACUUGCACAUCGAAUGUAAGGGCUCACACCUGCCUUACAAUAAUCUCGAAGUAAAAGAGUCAUCCCUUUUACAGCAACAACGACUAUGAUGCAUGGACAUGUAUAAGGACUCGAUAAUGCGACAACAAUUCACAAUCUCAACUCAAUAUAUAGGACAACACCCAAUUAUAUUGAUUAUCUCCACAACAUUGCAUUAUCAAGAAAACAUGCCCACACAAAUAAAUCAUAGUAUUCAUCAUCACACAUCAACAUAUUAAUCAAUAAUCAACAAUGUCAUCCAACAUCAAUUACAUGAUUUUCAAUAAUCAACAACAUCACUUAUCACGUAUGAUUUUACCAAUUCAAGAAUUCUCAUAUUCCAAGCAAUUAGCAUACAUUUCUCACGAUAAUCAUCAUACCUCAAACAUAUACAUGCAUACUCAAUUAUUCACUCUAAGUACCUCAUUAACCCAUUAUUAAGUUUGGAAAAGUUUCACGACUUAUAGAAAAAGUUAUGAUAAGUUUUCACAAAAAUCCACAUGACCCAUGUGUAGUAAUUUGAUCAUAACUCAAAUUCUAAAAAUCAUUUGGACGUCAAACCAAAGCCAUUAGAAAGCUAACUUAAUUAUCUAAAACUUUCAUGUUUACACGAAAAACCAAUUCAACACGGAAACAGGUGAAAAAUGUGAAUGUUUUCCAGAUUUGCUUGACAGCAAAUCGGUGGCCGAUUUUGACCAAUCGGUGGCCGAUUUUCGUCGAACCAAAACUGGAAAAUAAGCUCAGAAAUCAGUGGCCGAUUUUGGGAAAUCGGUGGCCGAUUUUGGGCUUCACAAUAGUUCAAAAAUCAGCUUAACAAUGCGUUUUUCACUCAAAAAUCACUCUUAAAUCACUAGAUUCAAAUACAAGACUCCCAAAUUAAAUCAAACAUUACCCAUAAUCAUAACACUUGUAAAUAACACUUAUACCACUUCAAAUCAUCAAGUUCACAUCCAAAAUCAUAAUCAACCCAUUUUCACCAAAACACCAACAACAAUCCAUUUCUCAACAACAAAUCAUGAAUCAUGCAAACCCAAGCCAUAUAUCAUCAUCAACAAUAUGACUAAACAACAACAACAACCAUUGAUCAUGAAACAUAUCACAAUUCAUCAACAACCAUGCAUAAUUCACCAAUUGAGCAUAAUUUACAAACUACCCAUUUUCAUACAUCAUGAACUUGCAAUUUCAUCAUCAACAAUUCAUUUAACAUCAAAUUAACAUAUUCAAACAUAUCUCUACAACAUAAGCACGAAUUUCAAAGAUUGGGUUCAUGAUAAUCACUUAUUCUCAUAAUCAAUUAUGCAUAGAACAAGAGAAAAAGAAUUAAUUAAAUGAUUAUGAUAAAAACUAACCCCCUUACCUUAGAUGAAGAUUAAUCCCAACUUAGACUUCUCUUUAGCUCCUAAGCUCACCCCAAUCUUGAUUCUUCAAGCUCUCCCUCUUCUCUCUAACCCUUGUUCUUCCUUUCUCCCACUUUCUCUCUUUACCUCUCUCUAACUUUGUGAAAUGAAAAGAAUGAAUGAUAUUUCUCUAGGACAACCCUAGUGUUAUCUCCUCUAAUGGGCUCAACUCAAAAUUCUAAUGGGCCUAACCCAUCCUAACACAAUUCAAAAGUUUCUAUACACUCCACGGUAAUUACUAACAACGGUAAAAUCUCAAUUUACUUAAUGAAAUAACUAUUCUCAUUAAUCACUAAAAGUAAUUCCCACCAAAAUUAUAAUUUUACCCGUUCACACAAAAUGACCAAAAUAUCCUUAAGUCUAAAAAUGACUAAAAUACCCUUCUAACACGGAAACCCAUGAAAAUGCACCCAAUGACAAUUAAAUACACUCAAGCACAAAUAAUCACAUAAUAAAAGUAAUUAAAAUAAAUCUAGCUAAAAAUCGGGCUGUUACACUUUUCAACUCCAACGAAGACCCCACCUCCCUCUUUCUGACCGAACCACCAUUCCUCCUUAACACAGCGCUCUCACCACCAUCAUUGUGUGCGAAGCGAUCAAACUGUGCCUCGCGUGCCACCACACGACAAUCCCCAAUCCAAACAGCGUUCAAAGCUUGUAAAAGUUUCACAGAAUUUUUAACGUUCACGUACCGUACGAAGCCGAAUUCCUGACCCAUAGCGUUUCUAUACCUUGCAAUAUAGACAUCUGAUAAAAUGCCACAAACUUCAAACGCUUGCCGUAACCUGAACAGUGGGAUAUUGUCCGGAAAAUUUGAGACAUAAAAUGAAGCUUUCCUCCCCUCAGAAACAAUGUCAGAACCAUGCCAUUCAGCAGUUGCAACACGACCUCCCACUUUGUUGGAAGAAUUGCCGCUAACCCUAAUCCCUUCAAAGCGCCUAUCUUGAUAGCCAUCUUUAGAAACCUUGCCUAAAACCUGUUGUCGAUCCUGCCUAUAACCUGAAAUCGUUCCUCGAUGCCCGUCUGGAACCCUUGAUCCGUUCUAUCUUGUAUAUUCCGAUUCCGUCGCUUUCCGCUUCCUAGACCGCACCACAGCCCAAUUUCCCCUUUCCCCCCCGUUUUCUGCCACCCAGGCUGGACCCCGACCCCCCCAGAGUGCCUCACCGCCGGAGAAAAGCUCCGGCGCGGUUGUCGGAAGGUUGCCCUAACAACACCGCCACUCCUGCUCUCUCUAACUCUCAUCGCGUUAUUAUAGUUGACCUCGGUAGUUCUACCACAUGCAUGCAUGUUAUAUAUUGGUUCGAAAGAUGAUUGAAAUACAUACAGAAUGCGGCAAGCAAGAAGACAGCAAAAGGAGCAAGCUUAACAUAAGCCAUUGAUUGAUUGAUCAAAAGAAAGAAUUAACCAGCUACAAUAUACUAUUGUUUGUUAAUUAUGAGCAUAGCAAUUUAUAGAUAAAAUAAUGUUUUUGUCUGAUCCAUGUAUCCUGAAAUAUUGCCUUAUUAAAUUCAGAAGUGAGGAACACGAGGUUAAUUGCUUAUAAAAAAUAAAUAAAAUUAUUCAAAAAAUAAAAAAUAAAAAACAAUUGGUCCCCCUCUCGAAAAAAUAAAGAAAAAUCUUCAAAAUGGUCCCCUCAAUAAAACUUAUAUAUGGUCCGCUCAAAAAAAUCUUCUAUAAUGCUAAUAUAACUAAGGUUAAUCAAACACAAACUCUGUACAAGGAUAGACUGCUACUGCAAUAACCCGUGAUUUAAAUUCAUAAAAAAUAAAAUCACAAGUUAUUGCAAUAACUCGUGAUUUAACUUAAUAAAAACGCUAAACUGUACUUUUCGUCCCCUAUAUUUCAAAAUGUUGCAGUUUUGGCCCCUUAUUAAAAAAAAUAACAAUUUUGGCCCCUUUCAUCAAAAAAUUGCUGCGAAGACGCCAUGUGUCCCAAAAAAGGGGCCAUAAUCGCAACUUUUUGUAAAGAUAAGGGGUCAAAAAACAUAUUUCCCUUAUGUUAGGAGGUCAAAAGAGCAUAUUUCCCUAAACAUAGGGGAUCACUUUUGCCAUUUUUUAAUAGGGGAUCAAAAUCGCAACAUUUUAAAACUUAGAGGGCGAAAAAUAAAGUUUAGCCUAAUAAAAAAUAAGCUUUUGUCAAAAAAAAAAAAAACUUCGUAAAAAAUAAGCUGAAAAAUAAAUAAAUAAACAUUAUCGACAUUGAAAGAUUGGCGACGUGGCAUCGACAUCUUAAUAUGUAAUGCAAUAGUCGGCACACAAAUCAUUUUCAAAGGAAAUGAGAACUCAUAUAAAAGUCUUUACCAAAGGAAAUAAAUCCCCAUGUGAUUUUCAAACAAAUGUUAGCAUAAAGGAUGUUGUUCAAUUUUUCUCGAUCAAUAUUUUCAAAAUAUCACAUUAAUUAUAGAUAAUAAAAUAUAGGCUUAUAAUUAUAUAAAUGGUCCUUUAACUUAUUUGUUGUUUUUGAUUUAGUCUCUUAAUUUUAAAUUUUUCCUUUUCAGACCCUUAAAUUUAUCUCAGUUGGUCAAUUCAGUCCUAGUCUGGAGACUAUCGUUUGAGUUUGCAAAAUUAAUUCGAGACAUAGCCAUUUAAUGAUGACGAUAAUUAUUUUAUUUUUUUUGACAAAAAUAAACGAUACUCAUUCAUUCAAAUUGAUAGAGUACAUCGAUACAAUACAAAUCCAAAUUCGCUAAAAACAAAAAGGAAGAAUAUGUGAACAAACUCACAACAUCCAUGUUAAUAGCAUAAAACGACAAAGUAUAUAUGCCUACAAAUAUGACUAUAUUCAUGUCUCCGAAAUACCCAUGUCCCCGGAUCUGCAACCUUGACGACGCCAAAAUCAUUGUUAUUGAUCGGAUCUGAACUUGCUCAAAGCUAAUUUUUCAACCAGAAUCAAAUAAACACCGCACUAAGACGGGAAAUAAAAAACACACCGCACAAAGACGGGAAAUCAAAACAAACAAAGUCGUUCAGAGAAGACGAAAUCAUAAAAACAAAACGAAAGAAAUCAUAAAAUAUGUGAAAUCACUUAUUCAAUUAGGAUAAAAGGAAAACAAUUCGGAGGGGUGAUUUUUGGGUCAAAAUUGACCCUAAAUCACCCCUCUGAAAAGAAGAAAUGAGUGAUGGUUAGAGUUUGAGAAGAGAGAGAAAGAAAUUGGAAUUUUUUACCCUUUAUUUUAUUUUUGAAUAGGCAAAAAGAAGCCUUUAUAAAAUCAAAAUGCAUCAAAUAGCACAAGAUAUGCUAAGUUAAUUCUUAAAAACAUGGCAAGAACAAAGCAUGCGGAUAACAAAUGCCCUUGAGUACAACAGUAGUGAUCCUCCCUUCUAUGGGAGAGGCUUAGGUUAAAGGCGAUUUAGAGGGGUUGAUUUAGGUGUGAUCUCGACAGGGGUUUUCUUGGUCAUACGUAUCCCUAAGGAUCUUGGGGAAUUAGAGCUACGUAGUUCUAUAUUUAUUGGGACUUAGGUUUAUAGUUCUAGCCGACAGGGUCAUCUCUAUAACAUUGGAGGCCCUACUCUCAUAGUAAAGAUAUGCCCCUAGAAAGAAAGAAAGAAAAAACACAAUUUUUUUAUAAGGGAAAAAAUGUUUAUAAUGUUUUAUUUUUAGAGAAUAAUUAUAAUGUUUAUGAUUAGAGGUUUACUAUUUUAUACGAUAAAUAUCGACCAAAAUUUUCCUCAUGAGCAUAGUUCAGUUGGCAGAUAUAGUGCAUUAUAAUAUGUUGGGCAAGGUUCGAACCCCGGACACCCAACUUAUUCACCUUAUAAGGUGAAUUCUAACCACUAGGCUACUUGACUAAUUCACCUUAUAAGGUGAAUUGUAGUCACUAGGCUACUUGAUCAAAAAGUCAAAAAUUACAAGAAAUGUUAUAAAAAAAUAAGAAGACAAAAAUAUAUUGUAUUUUUAUUUGUAAACACUAGAUCUUUGGCUCAUGCGUCUUCUUCUUCAGAGAUAGAGGCAAAACACCAGCCAUAUUUGAUAUCAGAAUUAGGAAAGCGAGCACAAUAAUUCCCACUACCCUUUUUUGUGCAUUCAUCAUGAGACCAACAUAAGUUAGGUUGUUCCUCAACCUUCUUUUUAAUCGUAGAAAGUGGCUCGCAGUUGCCUAAACCCCAAGAUGUGCAAAUAAAGCAAUAACAACCAUAGUCACAACCAGUUUCAACGGUGGGGCUGCAAAACGACAAACUGUUUCCUUCUAUUUUCUUCAUCUCGAACAAACUAGAACGCCGACCCGUGCUGACGCAUGGGUCAUAUUGAAAGUAAAUACUAAGAAAAAUCUAAAAACUUUUAUAAGAUGGCAAUGAAAUAAGUCGUAUAAUAAGUUUUUACGACAUUAAUCAUACCAUGGGAAGGAUUUUAAUUCCGAUGAAUCAUACAAACAACACAAUUUAUGAUACGUUAACGAAACACUUCUCGAUAAAACACAUUUGAUGUUACAUCAGAAUAUUUGUCAUCCUCGUUAGUUAUCAAUAUUGAUAGAAAUUUGGCAAGUGUACCAAUAACUAUCGAAGUAAUAAAUUAAGUUCGUAUCCACGAGGACUGUGUUAAUCUCAACUUAGCAAUAAAGUUAAUAUCUAGGAUGUGUAAAUUUUAUAAUUGUCUGAGGCAGUAGGUUUGUGUGCAUAAAAAGUAAUAAAUGUUGUUGAAAGAUGAUUUGAAAAGGAUUAUUAAACCGAUGAAUCUCUUAUUGCUUUAUAUGAGAAGUUUACCUCCCUUUAUUCCUAAUUACUAUUCAAUCUUUACGACAAAUUAACUAAGUAGAUUUGAUCAAUCUCUUGACUCAAAACCCUUUCCUAAGUUAUAACCUUUUAAUCUCUUAAACCGAUUGAAUAACCGCGGAAGCGAUAAAAGAACGUUAAUUCAUGAGUCAUGAUCCUCAAUUUCCUAUAUAUCUCUAGGUUCCUAUGUUGAAUCAAACAGGAUUACUAUUUCAGGAUUAAAAGCUAGGGUUAAUAGUCAUUCAAUUCAUAAUAUCAAUUCAUGUAAUUGCACGAAGCUAGGGUUAAUAGUCAUACAAAGCAAUUAUCUGAAAAGCAAUGAACACAACACAAGUAAUUCUGAAUAAAGACUGAAUAACAUUAAUAAUAAAGAGAGUAUCAACUACUGAUUCAUAUAUUACAAUAGGGUCAUCAUGGCUUAAUCAAUAAGGAAAUUAGCUAGACAUGAUCAAACGAAUAAACAACAUAAUAAAGAAAAUAAACCGAUAGAGUUCCAUCGUUGUCGGGCCUUGUUCUUCAUGUUUUUCCAUUUCAUGUGCUCCUAUUUCUUUCGUGCGGCUCCUUUUCCUUUUCCAAAACGUGAAUUGCACAGAACGUCAAAAAUUCCCUUUUUGUGAUGUGCUGCUUCCUUUUUAUAUUGCCUUCACCAAGUUCUUUUGUUAAUUUUCUCUCGGGUCAACAGCCCACUUCUUUUACUAUCCAUGUAUUAAUACACCAAACUUACUAUUAAGUUUCAACUCAUACCUCUUUUUCUUCAAUAGGCUAGAUAAGUUGCACAAUAAUUUCUUCUCAUUCCUUGGCCUUGUAAAUAUGUCACUAAUUGACCAAUAAUGAUAAUAAAAUACUAUUUGACUCAAUAAAUCAAAAACGACAAUUUAUUCAAAAUGACUCUAAAUUAAAUACUAAACUAAUAAAAAAAUGAAUUAAAACUUAACUAAAAAGACUCUAAAAAUGUGAUAUGACGGACUAUCAUCACAACCCCAAACUUGAAUCAUUCCUUGUCCUCAAGGAAUUCACUUGCGACAUUGACAAUCGACAGUAAAAUAACAAUUACCUAACCAAGUAGUAGUAUCCAAAAGUUCAUCUUCCUCUAGCCAAUGAUGAGCUAGUUUGACUUUCAUGCAUCCACCAUUCACAACUACACACAACAAUAUGAUAAGGGUUCACACUCAAUCAACGUGCAGGUCUACAUAUUACCAUACGCUUGAAAAGUUUCUAAACGUCAAUCAAAAUCAAUAUCAUUACACACUUUGAGGUCUUUCAGGGUUAUAACGAGGUUUAGGUUAAGGUGAGAUAAUAUUUGGAUAAGUAGGCUACACAAAAUUUGAGUUAGGCAUUCCUACGGAAAUUAAAGAAUGGAUUCAAUUCCUCAUUCACCCCUUGAAAUAACAAUUUGUAAAGGUACUAGAGAAUAUUUGUAACUUUUUAGGACAAUCGGGUUUAAAAUUACUCAGAUUUUUCAUUGUUUGUCCCUUGCUUUUUAUUCUUUUUUUUUUUGAUACACCAUUUUGAGUUUGAGUGUAUAUUUUUCAUGAUUUGUUCUUUGUUCUCUAGUACCUCCAUUUGUUCUACCUCCACCCCAAACUUAGUUGGUUGCAAAUUCCAAUAGCAACCCCAAACUUAUUGUUUAGCAACACCCUACAUAGCCUAACUCAAAUAUAAUAUUUUUUUGGGUCAAAUCCUAAAAGUCCCUAGGCUCAAUAUGUAGCUUGUCACCGAACAAAAAGAUCUAAACCUACCGGCUCAAAUUGGCUUUCAAAAAGGAUAAAUUCAAUCAAAAUCAGGGUAGGCUUGAAAAGGCUCACAGAACCAAGCACUUUUGCCUUCACCAAGUUCUUUUGUUAAUUUUCUCUCGGGUCAACAGCCCACUUCUCUUAAAUCAAGUUCAACCAUUAUUUCCGGCGGUCCCAUUGCCACUAUACAAUAUAUUCAACUGCAAGUGCGCCUUCGUUCAAGCAUCUGGUCAUACAAAAUCACAACAAGAGAUGGGUCUUAAUUGAUUCAAAACAAUUGGUUUAAGUGUAAGUAUGAUAAAAUCCUUACAAGAAACAACCAUGGUAAAGGAGAUUAAAGAAGAUGAGUCGCAUGAUCUUAGUUAUUAGGGAUUGAGUUUUUUAUAUAAAAAAAAAAGGCAUAAAUUGAAGUUGGAAACGAGUUGGUGUGUGAGUCUAGAAGCAGAAACCGUUGUUGAAGAGAUAGACCUUGAAGACAAUCAAUUUCCAAUUUUUAUUUUUAUAUUUUAUAAAUAAUAAUGAUGUGUAAUGCUUUUAGUGGUUGGAACUAAAUAUGAUCUUUUAGGUGAGAGACCAUGCAAGAGUUUCUCAUUAUUAUAAUGUAAAGAUAUAUUAUACUCUUCUUCUAAAUCUUUAUCUUUAUUAUAUAUAUUUGCGCUAUUUUUUUUUAAAAAGUACACGUGGCAAGCUUAUAUUCUCCAUCUCAUUUAAUGUUUUCUUAUCAUCCAAUCAAAAUGGAUUAUGACACAUUUAUUUUAUAUCAACCAAUAAAAAGAGGAUCAUGACUCAUUUGUUUUUCAUGAGCCAAUCAAAAUGGAUCAUGAUAUGAUUUUUUUUUCUAUAUAUAGACAAUUUAUUUUUCAUUAUUUUCAUCUAUCUCUUCCUCCCACAAAAACUCAUUGAUUUCAACCCCAUCCUCAUUUCUUUUAUUUUUUUUUUUAUUUUUUUUUUAAUGUUUUGUUGUUUGUUUAACAUUUCUUAUUCUUAGGUUAUUUUUUAUUGUGAUUUCUUAAGUUGUUGUUUUCUUAUUCAUAUUCUCUUUUAAAUUUUCUUUUCGUGAUUAUAUGUUCUUUGUUUUUUACUAGAUCUUUAGUUUGAAUAUGGAAGUCAAUUAAGAGAAAAGAAGAAAUGCAUCACGUAUCAAUUAGAAUAUAUAUGAAGGAUUUAUAUUACCAAGUUUAAAUCUAACCAAUUUCAUCCCCCCUUUUCUUUUAUUUUAAUCUCUCAAUUUCAACUUUUUCUAUCUAUUUAUUAUUCUUUGGUUAACAUUUCUUAUGUUGCUGUUUUACUUUUAAUAUUUUGAUCUUUUAUAUUUUCUUUUGUCAAUUAUAUUCUAUUUUUCUUUUCUUUUUUUAACUUUAUAAUCAGUCGAUAGACAAGAAAAAAAAAAGAUUCAUAUUUUCACAAAAUUGGUUGAAUGGAUGACUUUGAAGUGGAAAUGAUAAAAAAAUACAUGAUAUAUUUUCUAUUAUAUUUUAUAAAUCAUUCAUGUCGUGAAUCAUUCUUCUUCUACUCAUAUAUAUGUUUAAUGUUUUUUCAAAGUUGUUUAAUUUGUGGGUAUGAAAUGGUGAACAUACUUUCUAAAGUUUCAAAUUCAAUCCCGUCAUUUAAAUAAUUCUUAUUCUACUAUACAUUUAACAAAAAUGAUCAUUUUAUUUAAAAGGAAAAAAAGAUCAAUUUAAUUAUUUGAAAUCAUACAUAAAAUUAAAAUAGAAAGUGAUGAAAAAUAACAAAAUUAAUAUUCAAAUUCAAACAACCGUUUUCAAUGUAAAAAAAACACCAUUUUUCUAUCAAUAUUUCAAUUUAUCUAUCAAUUAUUAUACACAAUUAAGAGUUUUCCUACAAUUAUAUUAAUGACUAAUGACUUUUCUAAUCAUUAAAAUUUCAUUUAUUUUAGAAAGCGCACUUCAGUUAUCAAAUUAUUAUAGUAAUUAAUUUGCAAUUAUACUGUCAUUAUGAUUUGUCAUUUUUUUUACAUAAUCCUCUAAUUAAUUUCCAUUGCUCUUAAUACAUUUUUUUUUUAUUUCUAAUAUUAUUAUGUAAAUUUGUUAGUUCACGCAUUGUUAGGUUUUGGUUUGUCCGUGAUGUUAAAAAGUGACAAACCAUCAUGUUGAUUAGGCAUGGUGUUGAUGGAUAUAUACAAAUAUUUUUAAGAAGAUGAAUAUAUGAAGUCCAUGAGUAACUUUUUGUAGAAACUCUAUAUUUUAACCUUUAACUUGAAUAUCAAUUAAUGACUAUAGAUUACUUCAUUCGUCCUUAAAUGUCGUAUGAUAUAAUUAAUGUAAGAUUUUUUCGCUAUAUAUAGACAAUUAGUUUUUCAUCAUAUUCAUUUUCCUCUUCAUCCCAACUAAACAAAUAAUAAUAAUUGUAUUGUUAUUAAAAAAAAUUAAAACAAGAAAAUGUGUUUCCUUUCUAGAAUUUUUUUUUUCUGACCCUUUUCUCCAAAAUAAAUUCAGAUAUGACCCCCUUUGAAAAAAAAAUUCCAAAAUGACCCACUUUUGAUUUUUUUUUUUUGUCCCCGCCAUUUGAAACGGCGGGACUGGCCGCCAAUCUGACACGUGUCACAUCGUGACUGGGCAGCUUUUUUUUGUCAUUUCCGCCAUUUCAAAUGGCGGGACCGAUUUUUUUUUUUUUUCGUUUUUAGCUUUUUUGGGCAACAUUGUACAUUAUAAAUACAUAUUAAUUUAUUUGUGAAAAAAUUUCAAUUUUGCUCCCAUGAGGAAUCGAACCAGGCGCAUAUGGAUCAUUGCCAUUCUGUGUUACCACUAAGCCAAUGUACAUUUGAUGUUAAUUUUCGCAUCCAAUAAUAUAUAUACCAUGUUUUAAAUUCAUUUUUGUUUUUUUAAUAUAAGUCUUAUAAAAAAAAAUAUAUAGGGUCCCCAUGAGCUUAGCUCAUUUGGUAAGGGAUAAUGCACAAUAUGUGCAAGGGCCGGGGUUCGAACCCGGGCACGGACACCUCACUUAUUCAUUUUAAGGUGAAUUUCUCUAGCAACUAGGCUAUUUGACAAAAAAAAAUAUAGGAGAUUUUAUAAUUUUAAUUGGAUUCUAGAUUUUACUUUGAAAAAUUACUCCAAUAUGUACAAAUUCUAGAUUUUAUUUUGAAUAUAUAUAUAUAUCUUGAAAUAAUAUAUAUAUAUCAUUUCAUCGGAUAAUUUAUCGGUGAAAAAUAUAUAUUUCGUCGGAUAAUAAUAUAUAUAUAUAUAUAUAUAUAUUCGUCGGAGAUCCUAAAUUAUCCAAUAAAAAAAAAAACAAAAAUGAAAAACUGGAUGGUUUGUGGUGUGUGAAACUGGUUUUAAAAAGGGUAUAUAUAUUAUUAGAUGCGAAAAUUAACAUCAAAUGUACAUUGGCUUAGUGGCAACACAGAAUGGCAAUGUCUCAUAUGCGCCUGGUUCGACUCCCCCUGGGAGCAAAAUUGAAAUGUUUUCACAAAUUAAUUAAUAUGUAUUUUAUAAUGUACAAGUUGCCCAAAAAAGCAAAAAACGAAAAAAUAAAAUAAAAAAAUCGGUCCCGCCAGGGGCAAGUAAGGAACCUAAAGAACAAGAGGUUAUUGUGGGGGAGUCGGAGAGUGCUUCAGGUAAGGUGGUGCGCUCUAUUCAGGUCGAGAACCUUCUUGAGGCUGACAACACAGGGAUUGGUUUUCAGGGGGAUCCCUUGGCGCGUCGUUUUGAUAUUCAUUCAGCGAGUGUGAAUGUGGACACUCAGGUUGAAACGUGUGUUGAUGGAGGAAUUAAGCAGACCCCGUUGGAGAAUUGUUCGUCUCCUUUGCAACCAAAAGGUCCUACGAAGAGGGGUCGUGCGAGUUCGUGUCCACCACGGCCAGCUAGGUCUGUAGCGUCUGGCCCUUGGAGCUUGGAGUGGAUGUCUGAUCAACAUCAUAGCGAGGCGGGAGUGGUAUACUCGGCUCGUAAAGAGGGUAGAACGUUGGAUCGUUCGAGAAAGCAUGUGGGUAAAUCUGUUAAUCCUAAUCGUAAGCGUAAGAAAGUUAACGGGGUCCUUCAUCAUUCUGUUCACAGCCUGAAAAAAGUGGCAAGGCUUUCUAGCAGUGACAGGGCGGCAGUCUUACAGAUUUUAAAGAAAAAUACUCGCAAACUUAAAGGGUCAGAUCGUUUGAAAAAGGCGGUUCGUAUGCUAUCUAAAGACUUAUCUGAGAAGGAUUCUUCAUCUGAUUCGGUAAAUAAAGAAUGGAAUCAUUGGGUGGUUUUGCAUGGGAAUGAGAAGGUGGUGGAGGAUGAUAUAAAAAAUAUAGGUGCUGCAAUUGGUGUUCAGUUGUCUGAUAAAAAUAUGUUUGGUGUGCUUGCAAGGAAGGGGAAAGGGAAGAAAAAGAGGUUUUUGGAGGGUGAGGACGGAGGUAGUGGGUUGGUGGAGAGUGUUUGAUUGCGGUGGGUGUAGGUGGAGUGUGGGGUGAGGGUGUGGUCGAUGAAGCUGGUGUCUUGGAAUAUUAGAGGUUUGGGUGGGUUGGAGAAGAAAAGGGAGGUUCGGUCUUUGCUGAAGGAAAAGAACCCGUUUAUUGUGUGCUUGCAAGAAACUAAGUUACAAGUGUGUGAUGAUGGUGUCUGUUCGGCGAUGUGGGAUGUGAAAUCGAUGGCUUACUCUUAUCGCCCUUCCCUAGGGGCGUCAGGUGGGUUGUUGACUGCGUGGGAUUUAGCGGAGGUGGAAGUGUGGUCUACUGUUUCCGUGGAGCAUGUUUUGGUUAUUCAUGGUCGUUUUUUGCACUCUAAUGAAGAGUUUUAUUUGUUUAAUGUGUACGCCCCGUGUGAUAAUCGGGCUAGGCGGGUGGUUUGGGAAUCUUUAUCCUUGCGUCUGGGUUCUCUGCGCGGUGCUCUUCUGUGUGUCUGUGGUGACUUUAAUGCGGUGCGUAGUAGGGACGAAAGAAGAUCUGUGUCCGAUCAUGGUGGUUUUUCAGACGGAGAACUUUUUAAUCAAUUCAUUGUGAAUAAUUUUUUGUGUGAUCUGCCGUUGUGUGGUAAAAAAUUUACGUGGUUCAAAGGAGAUGGUAGGUCGAUGAGUCGUCUUGAUAGAUUUCUUCUUUCUAAGGAGUGGUGUUUGAAGUGGCCGAACUGCCUUCAGGUCGCUCAGUUGAGAGGGCUUUCUGAUCAUUGUGCUUUAGUUUUAUCAGUUGACGAAGAAAAUUGGGGACCAAAACCUACUAGAUUUUUGAAAUGUUGGUCAGAUAUUAGCGGUUAUGAGGAUUUUGUCACUUCCAAGUGGAAGUCCUUUCAGAUUGACGGAUGGGGACGUUAUGUGCUAAAAGAAAAACUAAAAUUGAUGAAAGUAGCUCUGAGGGAGUGGCAUGCGGCUCACUCGCAAAAUUUGUCUAGGAGGAUUGGUUCUCUGAAACAGCGUUUGGCAGUAUUAGAUGGUAAAGGGGAAGUUGAGGCGUUGUCGGAUGCUGAUUGUGAUGAGAUGCAUGGUGUUACAGCUGAAAUUCAUUCUUUAUCCCGGAUGCAUACUAGUAUUUCUUGGCAGCAGUCUCGAAACCAGUGGCUUGCUGAAGGGGAUGCGAAUUCUAAGUUUUUCCAUUCUGUUUUGUCUGUCCGUCGGCGUCGCAAUACGCUGAGCUCUGUGGUGGUGGAAGGGGUGGAGGUUGAGGGAGUGCAACCUGUUAGAAAUGCGGUCUUCACUCAUUUUGCAAGUCAUUUUCAGUCGCUCAAUUUUGAACGACCAAGCGUGGAGAAUCUCAGGUUUCGGUCCUUGUCUGUGGCAGAAGGGGGAGGGCUCAUUACUCCUUUCUCGGUUGAGGAAGUAAAGGCGGCUGUCUGGGAUUGUGAUAGCUUUAAAAGUCCGGGUCCAGACGGUGUUACUUUUGGUUUUAUAAAGGGGUUUUGGAGGAUUCUAAAAGAUGACAUUAUGCGGUUUGUUUCUGAGUUUCACCGUAAUGGUAAAUUAACUAAAGGUAUCAAUUCUACGUUUAUUGCUUUAAUUCCAAAAGUUGAUAGUCCGCGGCGUCUUAAUGAUUUUAGGCCUAUCUCUUUGGUGGGGUGUUUGUACAAAAUUUUGGCAAAAUUAUUGGCUAAUCGUUUGAAGGUGGUGAUUGGUAGUGUUGUUUCUGAAACUCAGUCUGCUUUUGUGCAUAAUAGACAGAUUCUUGAUGGUAUUUUGAUAGCUAAUGAAGUGGUGGAUGAGGCUCGACGUUGCAAGAAGGAUCUUUUGUUGUUUAAGGUCGAUUUUGAAAAAGCAUAUGAUUCUAUUGAUUGGGGUUAUUUGGAUGCCGUUAUGGAGAGGAUGUCUUUUCCUUCGUUAUGGAGAAAGUGGAUUAGGGAAUGUGUCAGCACGGCCACGGCUUCUGUUCUAGUGAAUGGCAGUCCUACUGAAGAGUUUCAGUUGUUUAGAGGUUUGCGUCAGGGAGAUCCUCUUUCCCCUUUCCUAUUCUUGUUAGCGGCUGAGGGCCUUAACAUUUUGAUGAAGACAAUGGUUGAUGCUAAUUUGUUUCAAGGUUAUAGGGUGGGAGCGGCUAGUUCCGUGGUUUUGUCUCACCUCCAAUUUGCAGAUGAUACUUUGUUACUUGGUGUCAAAAGUUGGGCGAAUGUUCGAACUCUUCGUGCCACCCUUCUUAUUUUCGAAUCUAUGUCUGGGUUGAAAGUGAAUUUUAAUAAGAGUUUGUUGGUGGGAAUUAAUAUUUCUGAUUCUUGGCUUUGUGAGGCAGCUUCAGUGUUGAGCUGUAAAGUGGGUAAGGUUCCUUUUAUGUACUUGGGCUUGCCUAUUGGGGGAAAUCCGCGUCGUCUUAGUUUUUGGGAUCCUAUUGUGAAUCGAAUUAAAGCUAGACUUAUGGGUUGGAAUAGCCGGUUUCUUUCCUUUGGAGGACGUUUGGUUCUGUUAAAAUCUGUCUUGACUUCUCUACCUGUCUAUGCCCUUUCUUUCUUCAAAGCUCCAUCAGGUAUAAUUUCUUCCCUUGAAUCUUUAUUUAAUCUUUUUUUUUUUUUGGGGGGACCGCGGCUCCGGGGGGUCUGUGCAGAUCAUAGAAGAAUAACUUGGAUAGACUGGAAAACUGUUUGUUCCACAAAGGAGAAUGGAGGUUUGGGGGUGAGGCAGUUGAAGGAAUUUAAUAGUGCUUUGUUAGGUAAAUGGUGUUGGCGGAUGUUGGUUGACAGAGGUGGUUUGUGGUAUAGUGUCUUAGUUGCCAGGUAUGGCGAAUUAGGUGGCAGGUUGGAGGUUGGGGGCCGAAGUAUAUCGUGUUGGUGGAGGGAGGUGAGUCGUAUUAGGGAUAGUGCUGGUGAGGGUGACUGUGGGUGGUUUGGUGGUCACGUGGCUAGGAGGGUUGGUGAUGGUUCUGAUACGUUGUUUUGGUUGGAUAGGUGGUUAGGGGAUGUUCCGUUCUGUGUCCGUUUUCGUAGAUUGUUUGAGUUAACAGAGAAUAAGCUCAUGUUUGUGGCAGACUUGUUCUCUGUUGAUCUGGAGCAGCAGGGUGUUUUUUGGAGGUGGAGGCGUAGAUUGUGGCAGUGGGAGGAGGAGAUGUUAGCGGAGUGUAGGACUUUACUUCUUGAUGUUCUUUUGUUUGCCGAAUGUUUCAGAUACUUGGGUUUGGCUUCCUGCUCCUUUAGAUGGAUACAUUGUUCGUGGUGCUUAUCAGGUGCUAACCUCGCAGGACUAUUCUAGUAUGGCUCAUGCUGCGGAUUUGGUGUGGCACAAACAGGUUCCCUUGAAUGUUUCAGUUUUUGCGUGGAGACUCCUCCGUGAUCGAUUACCAACGAAGACUAACUUGAUUGCUCGAAGGGUGUUGCCGACUGAUAUCUCCUUAUGUGUCGCUGGUUGCGGUCAGCCUGAAUCGGCUACACAUCUUUUUUUGUUUUGUAACACUUUUGGUUCGCUUUGGCAUUUGGUGCGUGAUUGGAUUGGUUGUGCGGGGGUGGAUGCAGAUAAUAUUUCCGAUCAUUUUCUUCAGUUUACUUAUUUGACGGGUGGUGCUGUUUCUAGACGUUCUUUUAUGCAACUUAUAUGGCUUCUUUGUGCAUGGGUUGUGUGGAAUGAACGCAAUAAUCGUCUGUUUAAUAAUGUAAUAACUCUCAUUCCCCGUUUGUUAGACAAAGUUAAGAUGUUGUCCUUAGGUUGGUUGAAAGCUAGAAAAGCUACUUUUGUUUAUGGUACCCGGCAGUGGUGGUCAUGCCCUCUUGUUUGUUUGGGUAUUGGCUAAUGUAGUCUUGUUGGGUUGGUUUUGUAUUUGUUGUAACUCUUGGUUCGUGUAGUAGUUUCUAAGGCACACCUUGUGCUUUAGGGACUGCUUUGUUAUAUAAUCUCAUUUUGGCUUUUUCAAAAAAAAAAAAGUAUUAACAAAAUUAAAAUCUAAGGAAUGAUAGAUAAAUUCAAUAUAUUAUACUAAUGAAAAGUAAAUAAAGAUUAAUUUUUGUAAAAAAAAAAAAAUAAAGACUUAAAUUAUAUGUAUGCGGUUUAGUUUGAUAUUAAAAAAUUAAUUCAAAAUGUGAUCCGAUACGAGUGGUUUACGCAAAGAGAGAUGUUAAACUUUACGAAUUUGUUCUACACGAAAUUUCAAUAAAAAUGACCAAUCAUGGGUACAAUGAUAAAUAAACUUUAAAUGAUGGACAAAAAUGCAGUCUUGAUUUAAUAGUAGUGCAAUUUUUCGGUUUCGUGUACACUAUAUUCGUAAUAUAUAUCAUGUCCGUUAUGCAAAAUAAAGUUCAAACAUGUGCAUUAGGUUUGAUUUUAAAAAAGGUUUUUCGGUUUAAAGUUAAAAAUUUUAUAGUAGUCGUUGAAAAGCCUCAAAUUUUUAUUCAAAAUAAAAGUUUCACUUUUGACAUAUUCUAAAAUAAAAAUGAUUAUUCAAAAACAUGGGAAAAUCAUAUGAUUAUCGAAAUAGGUAUAAAUAUUUUGAAAGAGAAUUGAAUGAUGGCCAUAAGUAAAUUUGAGCAAUGAUCCAAUGAAUUUUACUAAUUUUAUAUAAAGUUUGUCUUUAUUUUUAUUUUUUUUAGGUACAAAAAAUCUAUUUAAUACAUAUAUGCCUAAUUCUAUAUUGAAAUAUGUACUCUGGGUAACUAUUUAAUGAUCAUUUGAUCAUAAUGAUUCUCGAGAUUUGACAUUUAAUGCCGUUAUUAAAAUACAAAAAUCACAAUGAAUUUUUUCGGUAAAAAAUUGUAUGGUGAGGGAAUAUCGGUUCUGUACAAGGUGGGGAAUAUCUUAGAUAUGGAAGAGCACUCACAAAUAUAUUUAUAUCUACUUAUCUUCAGGGAUACUAACAAGGCUCAAAAUCUAUAACCUAUAAAUCCAAAGUUUGUCCUUUUACUGCUAGACUAAACUCUUCGAGUUUGAAAAUAGAAAGAAAAAAAAAUUAUAAAAUGGGUUUUUAUUUUAAAUUAAUCAUGGCAAAUAUUUUUUUUUUUAAAUCUUACUAGCCUACCUAAAUUGGCAUCAGGUACAAGAAAUUACAUAUUCCUUAUACCCGGAUCAUCUUUCAUCUUGAUCUUUUUACUAAAAAAAAGUAUUUGAUUUAAUUGUUCUUGCUAAUAAUUGUCUACUAAAAGAAGUUAUUGAUUUAAUUGCUCUUGCUAAUCAUUGUCAUCGGGGAGAAAAAAAAAUGACAUAUUCCUUAUACCCGAAUCAUCUCUUAUCUUGAUUUUUUUACUGAAAGAAGCUAUUGAUUUAAUUGUUCUUGCUAAUUGCAAUUGUUUGAUCAAACACAUUUUCUAGAAGUUGAUGUUAAUUUUAUGGAUUUGAUGAAUGAGUUAAAAAAAUCAUGGAUAAUUAAUGAGUGAUGAAAAUAUGUUUUAGAUAAAAGAGUGAUGAUUUUGUGCAAUAUAUGGAAGACCUUAGAGAUAAAAGAGCUCUCACAAAUAUACUUAUAUUUACAUAUCUUCAAGGAUACCAGCAGAGCUCGAAGCUCAGAAUAUUUAAAUCAAAGUUUAUUCUUUUACUACUAGACUAAAUCCUUAGAGUUGAAAAAUUGCAAUGAACAAAAAAUAUAUUUUUAUUUCAAAUUAAUCAUGACAAAUGAAAUAUUCCUUAUACCUGAAACAUCUUUCAUCUUGAUUUUCUACUUGAAGAAAUUAAUAGUUUAAUUAUGUUUGGUGAUUGACAUCACCUGUAAAACUUAUUUUGCAAGAGUUGUUGGUAACUUUAUGGAUUUUUUUAAACAAUUGAAAAAAUGACACUACAUAUUGACCCAAAACCUUAAGUCAUCAGUCAUCUCAUUUAUAUUUUGUUCAACAUAUACUUUUACAUUCAAGUUAGAACUUUAACUCACACUUGACAUAUUAACAUAUCUCCCUUAAGUGUGAUACUCUCUGCAACUAUAAUAUAGAGACAUAGCCAAAUAAAUCCAGAAGAAUGCACAACAUGCUAAAAACUAUGGGAUUGUGGUGGUUUCAUACAAGGAGUUUUUUUUCCCUUUCUUUCAUGAGAAAGUAAGGAUUAAGCGAAUGACAUCAAAAAAUGAAGAAAACAAUUCGUCGUAAUGACAAGACUUCCACAUGAGCCUAAAUUAAGUUGGAUAAUCAUAUUAUACUAAGAGAAACUGCACAAGUGAGAUUAACAUCACACCUUCAUCCAAAUUCUAAAGGCAUUAGAUACAAGAGCAACCUCACUAUAUGUUUUCCACUUUCUAAUAUUGCAUGCAAUCUGGAACUUUAACUAAUAUAACACAUAUUAACAUCUCUUCCUUUACGUGUUAGACUCUUCGCAUCGGUGAUUUUGUAACAUAGCCAAAUAAAAUCAGAUGAAGUCAUUUGAUGGUAAAAAAAAAGGUCGAUUGAUGGUGAUUUAAUGCAUGGGGGUUUACGUUCUUUUAUUUCAUGAGAAGUUAGAAAAUAAAUUAGAAAAGGAAAGAAGAUAAAAAAAUAAUUUGAACAUGAGAGAAAUAAUAAGAGAAAAAUAUGUACUCUGUGUUUUAUCGGUGAUAGUAUAUAAUAGUUUGAGUUACCGGUAAUUAUAUGUUUUUUUUGAAGAAGUUGAAUAUUUUUGGGUUAGUAUUACCAAAGAGUAUGACUUCAUUAAAAAAACAUCACAUCAUUUUAAAAUGUCUAAUAAACAUGUAUUUUGUAAACUCAUCAUAACUCAUCUGGAUUUUCCAUUGUCACGUCCCCCAAAGACUAGAAGUGAAGGAAUUUAAAAUAAUGGAGGUUGAAUACAAAAAUACAAUGAAAGCUAAUGACAUCCGACAACAAAGUUUUACAGAAAAAAGGUUAAUUAAAUAAAUAUUCCAUAUAAAUAAGAUUUUUUUUUUGUUUUUAGUCCAUAGAAAUAAGUCACAUUUUUAAUCGUUGUAACAUUUUCCUUUGAACAUUUUAUGGCCCAAAUUGUUGACGGAAAAUUUUANNNNNNNNNNAAAAACAGUACAUCAUAAUGUUGUGAGUUUCGGAGGAUCCUAUAUUGAGUUUGAUCAUCACGUUAGAUUAAAAGAAACCACACAAGUGAGUUUGAAACCACAUCUCCAUCUUAAACCUUAAGUCAUUAAUAUAUGAGUCAUAUCACUUAUAUAUUGUUCAACAUUUACUAUUGCAUCCAAUGUGGAACUUUAAAUAACACUUGACACAUUGACCUCUUUAUCUCAAGUAUGAGACUCUCUACAUCUGUAAUCUACCACCAAGAAAAACAAUCGUUUCCCCCACAAAGUUGAAUCGGCCUAUGGUAUUGUCGUUGGACCGUACGGGAGAGCCAACAAUGGUGUUGAUUGACUCAUUGAACACAAAGCGACCACACAAAUGUGCAUGAUACCAUAUCUUCACCCAAUAUAUUAAAUUUGACGAAAGUCUAACCCGUACUUGGCACGGGUUUCCAAGCUAGUUAUAAUAAAAAUGGUAAUGAGAUUCAAUAGUUCAAAUUUUGAUUCAUCAAUUACCUCGAUGCCUAAUUGUGCAAUUUCCUUGAUUACUAUAAAAACAUAUAUUAGUUAAACAACAGGCCUAACAAAAGCAUAACACAUGCUGAUGAAAGGCAACCAAAAUACAAAGUCAUGAAAAGAAAAAAUACAAAUCACCAACUCUAUAUUAUACAUGUGAAAAUUAGAAAACGAUUAAUGACAUACUUCCUCUAUUUCAUAAUACUUGUCGCUUUUGAGGAAUUUAUACAUAUCAAGAAAUCAAAUAAAUUUUGUUGUUUUUGAUGAAAUUUUGUGUUUUUGAUGAAUUUAUACAUAUCUAGCAUGUUAGGUUUUUUUUUUUGUUUUGACAUAUCGAUAUUAAGCAGAACAUACAUCUUCAAGAAGUCAUUUUUGAAUUUAGAGCUAGAGCCAAACAGAAGACAUAUUUGAGAUUAGAAUUAGGAAAACGAGGACAAUAAUUCCCACUACACUUCUUUGUGCAUUCGGUAUGAGUUUUGCAUAAGUUAAAGAUCUUCUUCGACCUUCUUUUAUAGGGUUAAAUAAGUAAAUGGUCCCCCUAAAUAUAUCAACAUUUGAUUUUAGUCCCCUUAAAAUAUUCUUUAGGUUUUUGGUUUUACAAAAUUUUUCAUCCAUGAAAUUAGUCUCUAAUUUUUAGUCACUCAUGUUUAAUCUUCAUAUUUCUUAAUGAAAUUUUUCAAAAAUUGAUAGAAUAUAGAGUUCAUAUUUUUAACAAUACAUGAAUUAAAUAUAUUUUUUUUUAUGUUUUUGCUACUAAAAAAUCCUUAUUAAAUUCAUGUUUUGUUAAAAAAAAAAAAAAAUUAUUUUUCGAAAAUAUUGUCAUAAUUUUCAACCAUUUCUGAAAAGUUUCAUUAAAAAAUAUGAAGGUUAGACAUGAUUUGACUAAAAAGUAUGGACUAAUUUCUUAGAUGGAAAAUUUUGAAAGGAUCAAAAGCCUAAGUAAUAUUUUGGAAUGAUUGAAGUCAAAUGUUGGUAUAUUUAGGAGGACCGCUUACUUAUUUACCCUUCUUUUUAAUAGAAGAAUAUGAGACGAAGACGAACACUAUCAGAAAUUCUUGAUUUUCCUGCGGAAUUACCUGCGGCUUUUGGUAUAAAUUCUGCAGGAAAUAGUUUUCCUACAGAUUUUGCUAAGGAUUUUGUUUAGAUAAUACCUUAGUGGGUAAUGGUUUCCUUAUAAUUUUAGGAUACACGGGAAAAGUACAUUUGCAGGAAGAGUGAAAAAACCGCAAGAAACAUUCGGAAACGAAGACAUAACACAAGCCUAACAUAUAUUAAUUAAACAACAGGCCUAACGUAAGCAUAACACAUACCGAUGAAAGGCAACCGAAAAUACAAAGUCAUGAAAGCAAAAAUACAAAUCCCCAACUAUAUAUUAUAUAUAUGAAAACGAGUAAUGACAUACAUUACUUGCAAAUCAACAUCAUAUCUUAAAUAGCCACAACCAUGCAUAUACAUCAUUAUUGAAAUUUGGAUGGAUAUUAAGAAAUCCAAUUAUUUAGUUGGAAACAAAGACUACUAUUUAAAGUAGUACAUAGAUGCAUAAUAUACAUCUAGCAUGGUAGGCUUUUCUUGCAUAUUGAUAUUAAGCAGGAACAGACAUCUUCAAGAAGUUGCUUUUGAAUAUAGUGCUAGCUGCCAUCUUGAAUGUAGCUUCUGCUACAGAGAUAGAGGCAAAACAGAAGCCAUAUUUGAUAUUAGAAUUAGGAAGAUGAGCACAAUAAUUCCCACUACCCUUUCUUAUGCAUUCAGCAUGAGACCAACAUAAGUUAGGUUGUUCCUCAACCUUCUUUUCAAUAUGAAGAAGUGUGGCGCACCAGCCAGGCUGAUUCAAAACACCCGUGACAAAGCAUUGACAACCAUCAUGAUUAUUACAAAAAUUAACUUGUGUGUCGCAAUCCUCCCCACACUUUGCUCCUUCUAUUUUCUUCAUCGAGAACAUUACUGUAAAUGACAAAGCUAGUUAAAGUUUGAACAACAUACACAUACCAUUAUUAAAUUAUUAUAAGAAUAAAAUUAAUGUAAUACUCAAUGUUGAACACGUACUAAUUUCAUAGAUAUAAAAUUUUAGAGGGAUCAAAAGCCUAAAGAAAAUUUUAGGGGGACUAAAAUCAAAUAUUGGUAUAUUUAGGGAAACUAUUUUCUUAUUUAACCUUUAGUUAUUUUUAAUUAGCGGACGACAGAGGCAAGCGGAUACAUGCCAAAUGUGAUAUGUUAAUAGUAAUUUAGAAAGAACCAGUUACAAUAUUAAUAUAAUACACAUACCAUUAAUAAUUUAGUAGACUAUUACCACUAUAGUUGAGAGUUUAAUUUCUCAUGAUUUCGAAAAUAUAAAUAUAAUGUAACAUUGGUGAGAAAGAUGAUUGAAAUACAUACAGAAUGCAGCAAGCAAGAAGAUAGCAAAAGGAGCUAGCUUAACAUUAGCCAUUGAUUGAUCAAAAGAAAGAACCAUCUAAAAUAUACUAUUGUUUGUUAAUUCUGAGCUCAACUUUGUAUUGCAUUUCUUCAUUUCUUGCAUGAAUCAAUUUAUAGACAAAGUUAAUGUUUUUGCCUUAUCCAUGGAUCCUCAAAUUACCUUUUUUUUUUUUUUUUUACGAGCGAGGGACACGAGGUUAAUUUAAUAACUAUUUCCACUAAAAUUCACAAGCUUCUAUAUGGUCCCCCUCUCAAACUAUAUGCUUAUCUAUAACUGAGGGUAAAUGUAACAGACCUUAAAAUGAAGUAGAAUCCUUAAACUGUUUAAUUGAAUUGAUGAAGUAAAAUAAGUUUCAAAGCUACUUAAAUGAUUACAAUAAAGAAGGAAGAAGAAUUAGAGAGAAGAGAGUUCAGAUAAAAAAGAAGAUUUUGACAUCACAAUUUCCAUGCUUAUUUCCUUGGCUUUUCUCUUAUUUAUAAGGAUCCAUAUUCCUUAUUCCCAUAUUGUCUUUUUCAGCUAUUUGACUCAUUACAGUAAACAAACACAAACUUUGUACAAGGACCGACUACUACUAUAAUAACUCUGAUUUUAAUUACUUCAUAAAAAAUAAGCUGAAAAAUAAAUAAAUAAACAUUAUAGACAUAUAAAGAUUUGGGGACGUGGCAUCAACAUCUUAAUAUGUAAUGCAAUAGUUGGCACGCAAGUUAUUUUCAAGGGAAAUGUGAACUCAUAAAAGCCUUUACUAAAGGAAAUGAAUCCCCAUUUUCCAAGUGAUUUUCAUAAGGUAGAUACUUCAUCCGUUUCAAAAUGCAUGUCGCAUUAUGAUAAUGGGCAUUAUUCACGUAAUUCACUUUGACCAUAUUUUUAGCAUAUAAGAUGAUGUUUGAUUUGUCUCGAUCAGUAUUUUCAAAAUAUCAAAUUAUUUAUAGAUAAUUAAAUAUAUUAAUGGUCAAAGUUGUGUCUUGACCUGUGUGAAGUAGUUGAUUUUGACAUGUAUUUUAGAAUGGAGGGAGUACUAGUUUGUCGUGCAAGGUAUCUACCCUCAUCGGCGUUGCAUACAUGUAUCAUCAUUGAUUAACUCAUCUGAGGUUUUGACUUGGGUUUUCCCUUAGUUUGUGCAUUAUAUGUUAUUUGGUGUAGAAAUAUAAUUGUUAUUUGAUGAGUGAUAUCUAUAUGAAUGUAUAUAUUAACUCAUCAAAAUAUAUAUUUAUUUAUCCUUGUUGGAUGAUUUAAUAUCUAUAUGAAUGUAUAUGUUGAUGAAUAUGAUGUUAUAUGAUGUUGUUCAUGGUUGAUGAAUUAUUAUAUGAAUGUAUAUGUUGAUGAAUGUAUAUGUGAAAUAUUUAUAUACUGUGAAAGAUGUUGAUAUGAAGUUGUAAUGGAUAUAUGGGAUGAUUAUUGUUGAUGUUGACUUGCUUCAUAUUAUUUAAUGGUGUUGCCUUGCUGUCGUGAUUAGGAUGCUAAUGUUGGUCUAAGUUGUUUAAGUUGUAAGAUGUUGAUCCAAAUUAUUGGAGUCAUAUGAGAUGUCUAAGUUGUUUAAGUUGUAAGAUUUUGAGUCCAUGCUUACUCAUUUAAGUUGAGGGCUUGAUGCCCUGUAAUGUAUAUUUAUCCAUAUUAUGUUGAGGGCUUGAUACCCUAUAAGUUGAGGGUUUGAUGCCCUGUGAGCCUAUUUACGCUCAAUACGUUGGGGGCUUGAUGCCCUGGUUGGUACCACAUGCAUGAUUAAGAGGUCGUAGUUGCAUUUUGUCUAGAUGGUUCAAGAUGUGUAAGUUGUCUAAGUUGCAUUGUCGAGUUGAAGUCGUGUCGUUGUUGUUAAGUUGUUAUUUACCCAUGUGUCGUUAAUGAAGUGUUUAUGAUGUUGAUUAUGAUGUUGUUAUGUUGUUUAUGAUGCUGUGUAUAAUGUGAUGAAAAUGAAGUUAAUGAUGAUUAGAAGUUGAUUGAGUUAUUAAAGAAGUAUUAUAAGAAGAGUAAUGUUAUUAAUUGAUGAAUUAUAUGCUUAUUAUUAUUGAAUGUGAAAUCUCACUCCUUCUGCAUGGAAAUGUUGCUCUUCGUAUGAGUAACUUGCAGGUGAUCGAGAAUAGGUUGAUGUAGUUGCUGUCGUGAGUGGUUUCCUUCUCACGUGUGUCUUUAGGUGCUCUGAUACGUAACGGGAUGGGACUUUGUUGCAUGCUUUUUCUAUUCCUUACGUAUUGAUUAUGAAUUUACAUGACUAUGUUUUAGAUUGGAUAUUUUAUGAGAUGUUUUGAUGAGACCUUCGUGCCAAAGAUUAUUUAGAUGUUGAAUUAAAUCCGUUGCGAAGUAUUAAAUAAGUUGUUGAACUUUUGAAGAAUAAAUUGUUAUUUAUUUUCGUUUAUGAUUUUAAGAAGUGUAGCAUUCCGUUUAUGAGGAAAACUCUGAUUAUUUAAAUGAAAUUUUUAUGUUAGGAAAACGGGGUGUUACACCGUGCGCCCUUGUGGCACAGCCGUGCGUGUUUUCACGACAUUAGGUGGCACGACUGUGCCAACCUCCUUGUUUCUGAAAACUCUGACUUUUCGUAUUUUAAGGUGCUUUUAAGUAUACAAAUGGUUCCCAAACACCUAAACCUAAUUAGAUGAAGUGUAAUUAGACUUUUAAAAGUGGUUUAACAUAGGUUUAUAUUAGGAAUGAAUUGUCUUUGAAAAAUAAAAGGAGACAAUCUUUGUAAGUUUUGGGGAUUUGACGAACUUUUCAAAAUGGUGAUGUUAUGCUUGACCUAAUAUAAUGUUAGGAAGUAACUAGGAGUGUUUUGUUGGUGUAUGGGUAUAAUGUCUUAUCUUGGUUGAAUAAUUGGAAAUAGACGAUUUUGUUAAAUGAUAUGAACUUUGGUCAAAAUAGAUGAAAUUUAGUAAAUGACAUACCAUGGUGUGAUAACUUACAAAUGGCUUUGAAUAAAUGAUAACAUGAUGAAAUAAGAAUGAAUUAAUGAUUGAUUGGUGUAAAAUAUGUUGGUUAUCAUGUUGUGGUGAAUUGUUCGUCUUUUAUGCGAAUUAUGAUUUAUGAAACGAUGAUGUUUCUUUUUGGAGAUGUUUCUUCUUGGUGAUGAUUAUUUGAUGAUGAUUAUGAUGAUGACUUGGUAAUGUAUGAAAGUAAAUGCUGGAUAAUGCAAUUGGUGGGUUAUUAGUAAAGAUAUUAUAUAAUGGUGGGAAUUGUAUAAUAUAGAUUUGAUGAGUUAUGCAUUGUCGAGUAUUUUCUUGUAUGUCCAUGCAUUCAUCAUCAUGUUGAGUCAUGGUGAAAAACGAAUCAAUUAUGAUUAUGUUAGUUUUUGGUGAAGAACAUAAUAAGGUGGGGAUUACGUUAGUGGGUUCUUACGGUAAAAUUAUCUCCGAAAUCCAAAAUGGUACCACAUGCAUGUAGUGAUUCCUAGAACAUUGCAUGCACUUGAAAUCGGUGAAAUUUGUCAUAUUUGACUAAGUGACUUGGUGAAUAUGUACAUCGGUGAAAUUUGGUGAAUAUUGCGAUUAUGUGAAAUUGUGGAUGUGUAUGUGUUGCUUGAUAUACUAAGAUGGUGGUAUGAUAACAUUCAUGUGAGUUACUAAUGUUGAAUAUGUAUAAGUCAUUCAUGUGAGUUACUAAUGUUGAAUAUGUAUAAGUGUAUUUAUUUGAAUAUGUGGUUGACCGCCUGCCUAUUUGUAUGAAUGGGUAGACGGUGUGCAGGAAUGAUUAUCUUAUUGCUUGUGAGUUGCUUGAGGACUAGCAUGGAGCUACCUUGCUUACCUUUUGCUCGAAGUCUAGUUAGGCUCUGAUUAGGGUGUGGAGCAUUUAUAUUUAUUGUCUUUUAUCUGUUGUUGGAUUUGAUUUGAUGAGACCAUGGCUAUGUAUUUAAAACCUAAGAUAUGGUGUGGAGAUUUUAUUACUCAUGUUUUUUAGGAUUAUAGCAUGUUGAUGAGAUUUUAUGUAUGAUGAUUUUCUGCUACGUGUUUUUAUGAAAAAUCAAUUUAUGCAUGUUUUAAGAAAAAUGAAGAUGUAACAUCUAAACUAUUUUGAUAUAUGAAUUAUCUGCAUAUUUUAUUGCUUUCGGGGUUUAGAGUGUUACAAAACAUGCCUAAAAUGAAAUAACCUUUUGCUAAGUAGGAGAUGACUCACAAGUUAAAUUAUCUGACCAUAUUGGUCCUAUGUGUCUAAUGAAAAAUUAAAACGACAUGAAAGUAUGACAAUUUUGUAAUAUGAUCUAGGGGUAAUUGUGAAGUCGGUGGGAGAUGUGAACAUAAUGUAAGAUUAAUAAGAUUUAAGAGUAAUUGUGAAGUUAGUGGUAGAUGUCAACAUAAUUUAAUAUUCUAGUUUUGAACUUGUUUUGAAAAAUAUCUUUCUUUUGGAUGAAUCUUAUUUGUACCUUUAUUUAGGAUGAAUCUUAUUUGUAUUUCUUUGUUGGAUGAACUUGAUUUUAGUUUUACUCUUGGAGGUAGGAAACUAAGUCUGAGGUUGAACUUACAUAACUUUGUUUCAUCCUUUGUUGAUCUAUAUAAACAGACUUUAUUUGAUGGUUCAUGGCUCCCAGGAUCUUUUGUUGAUGGUUUAUAUAAAUUGAGAUUAGUGGCUCCUAACUCCUAUAAUUUACAGUAAUAAAUUAUUUAUUACAUUCAUUGGCUCCCUAGCUUUAAUGUUAAUUGUUUUUUUUAACCAAAUAGCUUAGACUCAUUGUUUUCAAGAGUCACAUUGAAUACAUGAUUAUUGUGAAUUCUUUUGAUGCGUUUGGGAGUUUGAAUUUCAUUUGAUCGUUUUUAUGAUGUUGAAUUUCGAUUUCACUUAUUUUCUUUGAUAUAUUGAUGUGAAAUUUCAUUCAAUAUAAUUAUUGAUGAUGAGAUGAAUUCUUGUAUAUAUUAAAUAUCAAAUGUGAAAAAUUAAAGCUCAUUGUUGAUAGGAUCACUUUGUCAGUGAUCGACACUAUUUUAGAACUGAGGCAUUAUAUAUGAAAAAUUUAAAGCUCGGUAUUGAUGGAAUCAUUAUUCGGUGAUCGACACUAUUUUGAAGUUGAGGCAUUACAUGUGAAAAAUUAGAGCUCAAUGUUGAUUGAUCUCUAUGCCGGUUGUCAACACUAUUCUAAAGCUGAUAUAUUAUGUGUGAAAAUUAAAGCUCAGUGUUGAUAGGAUUACUAUGUCGGUGAUCAACACUAUUUUGGAGCUGAGAUAUUAUAUACACAUGAAAUAUAGAGCUCAAUGUUAAUAUGAUCUUUAUGUUGGUGAUCAACACUAUUUUGGAGUUGAGGCAGUGUGGUUUUCCGUGAACCACAUAAUUUCUCUGGCUUUGAAGCAUUGGAGAGAAAUUGAGGACUGACAUAGAAAAUGAUAGUAUGAUUGGUGAUCACGUUGACAUAUCAUUUUCUUGCUACACUCUACACAAAUGACUAGUCGACGGAAUUGAUGGUAUUUGUAACCCAUGGAAGGUGUUGUAUCAAUAAGGAUAUAACUACCGCCAUAAUUCGAUAUCAUUUAAUUUUUGUUGGAUGGAGCCUUAAUUAAGUGUCGCAUCUUGAGAUCAUUUAGUGGCCACAUUAGAAAGCUUGUUAUCGGUCCCCGUGAAAGGCAAAGGAAGACUUUGUCUUAGAUCUCGGUAAUCAUGACUAUGGCUUCAUCAAUUAAAAAGUAAAUGUGUUCAAAUUUCAUAUAAUAGGUGAUUUAAAUUUUACAAGAAAAUCCUAAACCCUCAAAUUUUGUUCACUUACGGCUUCAAGCGAACUUAACUCCUUACUCCACAACAACCACCACAGCUGCCCCUCCUGAUACCAUCUUAUAAAUCGUGGUUGGGCAUAACAUAAUCCUACAAAACUGACUUGUGAGGUGAGGAUUACCCCCACUUAUAAACACAUUGUCAGGUCAUCUCUUAUCUGAUGUGGGACUCUUUAACAAUUUUUUUUGUACUAAGUAAUUUCUCCGCUAAUAUAUCUAAUCUCAAUUAUCUCGCGCCAAAUGGAGUUUGGUUCGGUCUUAAGCUUCCACCUCCACUUACACAACAUGGCCAAAUAGAAGAGUUCUAUAUUUUUAACACCAGUCUUCCUUUCUUCUUGGGAUGACACACCUUCUCCCAACUCAUCCAAUUGAUUUUCUUGCUGUCCGCCCCUCAUCCCAACUCUUAUUUGAUUGCAUUGUUCUUACUAAAGUUCAUGUCUGUAUUUCAAUUACCUGGUACGUGCACAACGUGACAUGAAUAAUGAAAAUGUGCAAUGGAUAUACUUUUCCAGGUUUUUUAGGAUAUACACUUUUCCUUCCCUAGUUAAAUAUAUAAACAUAAAACAAAAUGUUUAUGAUUAAGACAUUAGUCUAUUUCUGUUUGGAUUAGCGAUGAGUUCAGUGGCACUGUGAUUUUGUAAAGCUUCAAAAUAUAGUUUUUGCCAAAAGCAUAGUGGCUCGUCGUAAUUCUUUCAAUCUCACCAUCAAACCAAACAUUCAUGUCGGAGCUUGAAUAGCUUAUGUGUAAAAUGAAAAAUGAGUUUAAAUUAUUUUAUUUUAUAUUUAAAAUAACCUUUAAUCAAAUUGCUAUCAAAAUUCAACAAAACAGUUGCUUCAAAUUAUAGGGAAAUCAAAACGUGCAUUGCAGAGUCAGAUACUUAGAUGGCAACUUUCAGAAAUUAUAAUGAACACACACAAACACUUGUCAAAUGUCAUCGUUAGCAGACAUUUCCAUAAUAUAUGAAGCUAUAUUGUUGAAAAGGCAAAACACUUUUCUGCCUUUUAGGUAUGAAUACAAAUGAAAAAAACACAUGAGAAGAAUCUAUGCAAAUAUGCAAUAAUAUUAUCAGUCACAACAAUUAAGUUGCUCACUAAAUAAGUAAAUAGUACAAAUUUUAAGUCUAAAUUAUGCAAUGGAAACAGCUAAUAACAUUUCCCAUUCUUUCGUUUUUAUUUGAUUAGUGCAUUUCACAUUCUUUUCACUCACUACUAAUAGCUAACAUGCACAUUAUAUUUCCAAAGGACAUUUCAACAUAUUGAACUAUUGGUAAUUUAUGUAAAAAAGUAAAAAGACAAAGUAGAAAGAGAAAUUAAAGCAUAAGAUGCUGGUGAGUUAUGUGGCUGCAACCCUCGUAUCUAUAACAUGCCAAGAAGUAUUUUGUAACCUACAAACCCUUUCAAGUUUGAACCAUGAAUAUCAAUCUAAUGCAGCUGGAGUUUUCCACUUCUGCAUUUAACAUUUCUUAAUCGAAGAAUCCAAUGCAGCUUUUGGAAAACUUUGCCAUCUUUCGAAACAAUCGAUGCGACUCUCUUCUGCUAAAAAAAAAAAUCGAUGCGACUCUCUUCUGCUAAGCAGUUUUGUCUGCUAGGUUGGACCCUUGUAACCAUAGUAUCGUUUGGGAGACCUUCCAACCGCAUCUUUACUAACAAAUUAACCGAUGUCAAACUCAGCAUCCCCCAUUUCAUCGUCCAUGUUAAAUGUGUUCUUGUCUUACACAUACUACAUUGCAGGGUUAUGUUUAGACUAUAUUUUGUCUCAAAUUAUGUCACCUUAGAACAUUCUGAUAGGAUUAAAUGUUAUUUUUUUCCAAUAAUAUUGUACUAUUUAUUUGUAUCUCAGCUACUGUAUACUAUUAAUUAGUCUUUUCACCGAAGUUGUGUUACAAUAAGGAUAAUUUAGUCAAAAAAAAUUGAUUUACCAUGGAAAUGAGAAUAAACCAUUUCAUGAGACAGAGGUGUAAUGAACAGAACUAAUCCUAAGUUUCAUGCUCUUCCACAGACAUAUAAAGUAACAGAACUAUGCUUAGAUGUUCAUAACGGUCAUAAUCCCCAAAAUUUAACAUCUUAGUGUGUUCUGUCUUAUACAGGUCAAAUUUCUGUUGAAAGUCUCAUCUAGGUACAAGUGAAAACAAUUAACAAUUUAGUAUUUAUAAAACACACAUGAGCAUCACAAAAACCUUGUCGGCUCAAGGAUUAGUCUCGUAACAUGUCCAAAGGGCCUAAGCCGUUGGAAUAACUUGGGGUGCCUACUGGAGUCAAAGAUCCUAAUUAAGGUGAGUUAGAAAGAAAAACACACACACAUGAGCAGCUGUGCAGUAUGCGCAUUAAAGAACAACAGUUACAACAGGAAAGAGUGCAAAUCUGCAAUAAUCUUAUCAGUUACCACAGUCAUAAGUUGUACUUACUAAUAACUUAUAUCAAUUUUAAGGUUGUGUUUCAGCAGAAACAACCAAAUAUCAAUUUUAAGGUUGUGUUUCAGCAGAAACAACCAAAUAUGCCUAAUUAUUACAUAUAAUUCUUAAACCCCUUGUUUCCUCUUAAGAGUUUAAUCUUUUAUGUACUCACAGGUUGUAUCACCAAAUAAAAUGGUUAAUCGAUUAAAAUUACAGGAAAAACAUACGGAAAAAUUAUUAGACCAUCCUGCAAUAGAUCCUUUUUUUCACUUGCGAAUUAUCUUUCUCAUGUUCCUUGUUUAUUACAUAAGUCGAACACAAUUCAAGUAUGCAAGGGAAACAACUAGCAUUUCCCAUUUCUUUUCAUUCACUACUAGUCAUUGCUAUAUACUCAAUGACAAACAGCAGAAAAACAAAAAAGACAUUUCAACAUAUAAACUACUUGUAAA